rnacentral:lncRNA from 1 species
UUAUAUAUAAUGAAUUAGUAUAAUAUUUUACACUUUAUUCGUCCUAUAAAUUAUUUGCAUGUUUUUUUUUUCACAUUACACGCCACGCCACCACACACACGCACAGAUAAAUUUUUUCACAUUACACUCUUACACACGCCACCACACAUGCACACAGAGUUCGAGAGAACCCACACCACACACGCACACCGAGAGCUCUCAGUCAAUCCCUCUCUCUUCUCCUUUCAGUCUUCUUGAAUCCCCCAUCUCCCCCUCCCCCCCCAACAAUCUCUUCUCCGCUGCGCCGCCCCCACACUUCGAAUCUUCAGAUCCGCCCCCACCCUUCGAAUCCUCAGAUCUCUCCCCCCCAACCCUUCGAAUCUUCAAUCGCCGCGGAUCUCCCCCCCCAACCCUUCAAUCGCCGCAGCCCUUGGAAAUGGAAAAACGAAGGGCGAAUUGUGUUAUCGUUUUUGUUUUCAUUUGUAUAUUUUCCCUUUUUUAUUGGUAAGAUUUGUUCAAACCUCAUCCUGCCAUUGAUUUUCAUAACUGCUUCCCAGAGCCUCCCCAAUUUCUUCCCCGCAGAAGCCCUCUCCUUCCCUUCCGACGACGGAGCCUUGGAGUUCGGCGAUAUUAUCGGUAAUAUCGAUAAUAUCGCGAUAUUAUUAUCGAUAUUAUCGCGAUAUUUUGACGAUAAAUGACUGGAUAUGUGUAAAAAUAUCGCUCUCUGUAAAAAACGAUAUUAUCGGCGAUAUUUCGCCGAUAAUAUCGAUAUUUUGUUCAUUGUCUUCAACUCACCUUCAUCACUGGAUUAACUCGAGUGGUUGGCACUACGUAUAUGUAUUAAUUUAUAAAGACGUAUUUGCCGAUUUCCUCCCAAACUUGUAAGGAAUUGCUAUUUUUUUCCAUGAAUUUUAAUUUUAGCUGAUUAUCCCCUCAACUUUUUUUAAUAGCCAAUUUCCUUUUGGAGUUUUCUAUCCAUUUUGGUCAAAUGGUAGAUCUUUGACGGCAAUAAAGUAGUUCUAUCCCUAUGUGGACAACAAACUGUUUUGUUUUUUCUUCUUUCGCUAGUUGGCUCCGAGAUAGUUUUAUCUUUCGCUAGUUGGCUCCGACAUUUUUUGUUUGAAUUAGUCAUGGGAGUCCAAUGUAGCUACAAAGUAUUGGCUAAGCGCCCUUUCUAAAACACAAUUACCUUUUUUUACCUCAUACAAUUGCCAUGUGUUGUUCGGUUGACCAAAUUGGAUGAAAUUUUUUAAAAUAACGCCAGAGGGAAAAAUGGUAGCUCUAUACAAUGUUGAGGGGAGGAAAUUGACAAAUAGGUCAUUUAUAAAAAGGUUACGAUAUUCUUAGUUAUAAUAUAUUACUUGAAGAGAUAUACUUAGGGGACUUUCUUCCAUUUCACAGUUUAACAUUGAUUUAUGUACCAAUAUUAUAAAAUAUUGUGUUGAAAAUAUGAGUAGCAGAGAGUCCACAAAGAUUUCUACUUUUGAGAGUCUACUUAACAUUUUUUAUUACUUGAAUCAUAAUGAUGCAUGCAAUCAUUACAAUAGAUUGAUAAAAUCUUAUUAGAUGGAAUAGCUUAUGUUUGGCAUGCUCAACGUGUACUGAAAAGUCUCUAUCAAAAUAUUUUUUUAUACAAGAUACUUAGCAUAAAUUGUUGAUGCAAAAUGUUAAAAAAAUAAGAGCUACUUCAUUGGAAUUCAAAAGAGUACUAAAUUUAAAAUAUUUUUAUAAAAUUUAAUUCAUGAAAAGUUUAAAAUUAUUAAAAAAAGAGACAUUGAAUGCAUGCGUUGACAUUAAAUAGAGUCUUGGGACUAAAAUUAAUUUGUAAUCUUGUGUAAGACAAAACAAGAUUAAAAAUUAAUUUUAGUUAAAGCUCACUCUCUCAUUUCUAGUGUAAAUGCUAUCGUUUGUUAAAAAAAAAAAAAUCUUGUACAAGACAUUUUUCUAAACUUCAUCUUAUUUAAAGAUUAAAAAUCUAGUUUUCUAACUAUUUAUCUUAUCUUGUUAGUUAGUUUCCUAAUCAAUGACCUUUUUUUUAGUAAAAACAUCUCACCCUUGUCUUUGCGAAGUUCUAGCUAGCAUCUUUGUCCCACGUACAUGGUAGGUCCACCUCUAUUAAAGAAAAUAUGAGCGAGUGUGUUUAAAUAGAAUUAUUGAUAUGUAAAAAGUGCCGACAAGCAAGUAUAUCAUGUGCAUACAUACAUUGUUAAUGUAGUUGUGUGUACAUAUCCUCCUUCUAUAAAAAGAUUAAUUGGGAAAUGUUGUGACUAAUUGUGUGAUGUAUGAAAAUAAUUAAUGAUCUAUAUCUCAAUGAAUUUUGCAUGAUUGGAGUGAAGAAGAAAACGUGAUAUUGAAGAAGUGUAGAGAAGUAAUAUUUUUAAGCAAAAACGAGGGAGGGAAUAAGAAGAUUAUCAUUAUAGACGUAGUUGUGUUGUGGGGUAUGUUGAUAACAAGAAGAAGAUGGUGGAUGAGAAAUCAGUUGACACCUAGCUCAGGUUCGAUAUGUUGAUGACGUCUACCAUCAUUGGCAAAGAGCGUAGCAAAUUAGAAUGGGAAAAGAUUUUUUUGGCUGCUGGAUUCACUCACUAUAUAUAACAUCACUCAUACGCUCAGUUUGAGGUCUCUUAUUGAAGUUUACCCUUGAAAAUAAAUCUUCCUACUAUUAUUGUAUCAAUAAAAUUAGGGAUACUUUGGAUGCGGUCCCUAAUCCUUAAUAUUCUUUGACUAAAACCUUAAUGGUAUUCAAAGUUUGAUCAAAGUCCCUUGACUUUGUACACCUCAUUAUAUUACAAUUAAUAUUAUAUUUUUUAUAGUUUUGACAUUAAUUGUUUGAUAUUUUAUGAGAUUUAUAAUCCUAUAAAUUUAAAAUCCCUCAUUAUAAUACUAUUAGAAAUGGUUACAAUAAAAAAUUCAAACAUUUUAAUUGAAUAAAUGGAUAAAAAAACUAUGCAAAAAAUAAGAAAUAAUAAAUGGCAAAAGAAUGUAUCCAUAGUGUUAAAAAAAAUUGGUACAUUUCACAUAGAACAAAGUGGUACAUUAAUAAAGAAGAAUGGGUACAUUAUAAAUAAAUUAGGGUACAUAUAAAAGAUUAAAAAAUUAUGAGUACAAAUGAAUUUUUAAAAAAUAUAGGUGCUAAAAGAAAUUAAUACAUGGGUACAAAAUAAAACUAAAAAGAAUAUACUACAAAUUUAAAAAAAUGUUGCAAAUUAAAAGUGGGUACAAACUAAAAAUAUAAAUAUAUGAUACAAAGUUUAGGCAUAAAACAUAAAUAUACCAUAUGUAAUUUUUCUAUCAUUGAUUACAUAUACAAUGUUACGUGACGGUAUACAUAUGGGUACAAACACAAAUAAAACUUUAAAAAAUAUGGGCAAAAAAAAAGAAACUAAUAUAUGGGUACAAAUUAAAAAUGAAAAAAAAAUUGGUACAAAUUAAAAAUAGGUACAAACUAAAAAUACAAAUAUAUGAUAAAAAUUUAGCCAUAAAUAUAAAUAUACUAAUUGUAACAUUUUUAACACUAAAGGAAUCUAUUUAAAAAUAAAAAUAUUUUAUUAUUCAAAUAAUUAAUGAUGUUAUUAAUACCCAAGGACCUUGAUAAAAAAUUGAAAAUGAAUAGGAUUUUAAUCAAUGGAGUAGAAAAAAGAAGGAUGUGAACCUAAUUUCUCCAUAAAAUUAUGUAGACACAUGCUCUAGCUAAUAUUGGUGGCCCUACUAUUAUAUUCCAUGUGUACUAAUCGAGUGUCAGUUUUAUGUGACAAAUAAAUAAUAAGUGAAGUGUGUCACAGCCCAUCCCGGGAGAUAAUUCUUGUUGACAUGAAUUGACGAAAAUGCCCAUGGACGUUAGAUUGUGUGAUGUGGUUUAAGUGUUGUUUUUGGGUCACUAUUCUUAAAUCCUAAUUGUUUGGAACCAAUUAGGAUUAAGUUAUUGUGUAUUUUGGUUGUUGACCAAUCCUAGACCACACACACACCCACCUACCUUCUUUCUCUUCAUUCCCGUACUCUCGCAUCUCUCUCGGACUCACACUCUCUCUCUUCUUCCUCGUACGGACCAAGCUCGAGGUGAGCUUCCCAGUCACAGAUCGAAGAAUUUAAAGGCGCCAUUGCAUUCCUCGUGCCAUUUCGAGUUGGUUGGUACCCAUUAGUUUGGAUGAAUUUUUCUCCGGUUUUUCUUUUUUUUUUGUUCGUAACUUUUUAAUUUAUGCUUGAUAUCACCUCUUAUGAAAUAGAAAUUUUAAAAUGGAGGGAUAAGAUUUGAAUAUUAUAAAUUUGAAAAAGUACUGUUAAACCAAGAAAUUAUGUCCCAGAUCAUCACACAUAACCACCAUAGUUUGUGAUAUUAUAUGACGCACCUUGUGAUCCAAACAGUCAGGAAAAGCCCUAGUGUCCGUUCGAGGUAAAUUAUUUGGACAAUUUUUUUCAAAGGUUUUGAUAGGAUACUAAGAUGGGCUAUCCAAAUUAAGAGAUAUGUGUAUGUUCUGCUGGUUCAUGGAACCCUUGUUAGUUGAUUGACACUUGUCAUUGGAUUGGAUGGUUAGUUAGUUGGGUGGUUAUUGUGUAGAAACUUAGCUUGCAAGUUUGAGAUAGAUAUAUAGCAGACUAAUUGUGCAAAGGAGGAUAUGUUGAGAAAAGUAUAUUGUCGAGUAAUAAUACAAAUAGAGUUUAUGUGCCAUGCGUUGAAGGUUAGAACAAGGUUCUUAUUAUUGGUAUCAGCCAAUUGGAUCCCACUUUUCCCUUGCGUAUGUCGAGAGCAACCACUCAUGCCACAAAGAUGGAUGCUUGCGUCAUUGCCCUUGAAGCUUCGAACUCUAGAAUCAAAGAAUUGGUCCAAAAUCUCGUAGCCCAAAUGUCCAAAUUCAUGGCGUCAAUGGAUACCCGUCUUUCGUUGGUCGAAUCUCGUUCUGCUACCAUGGAAGAACAAGGCCGCGAUCGUGUGGGUCUGUUGGAAUUGGAGGGAAAUCCAAUUGAUUCAGAAGAAACUUUGAGCGAUCAAAAUCUUGAUCCAAAUUUUCAAUUCCAGCGUCAAGAUCCUCGAUUCCGCCAUCAAGAUCCUCAAUUUCAGUUUCACCAACCACCGAUCAAGCUUGAAUUUCCAAGAUUUGUCGACGGGGGCAAUCCCUUAGCUUGGGUGUACAAGGCGGAACACUUUUUUGACUAUUUCUCGGUCGCCGACGAUUGCAAGGUUCAAUUGGCGUCCUUUCAUUUUGAUCGUGAAGCCUUUCAAUGGUUUUAGUGGCGGAAUUGCCUUAAGAAUUUUCCUCGUUGGCCUGAUUUUGUUAAGAUUUUUUGUCAAGCAUUUGGUCUCUCGAAGUUUGAGGAUUUCUCAGAGGCCUUGGUUCAAUUGAAGCAAACUGGGUUGGUGAGAGAUUAUAUAACAGAGUUCCGACGUUUGGCUAAUCGAACCCAUGAGAUUGCUCUAGCGAUGCUUAAAAGUUGCCAAGCUUGUUGAUUCUAAGACCCGAUAUUUCUCAAAAGCCUCAAAUUUUUCUUGGCAUAAUUCGGUUGGCAGUAAGGAUACACCAGCCUAUAUGGAUCCAAGUACUCCCAAUUCUUUUGUUAAUGUUCCUAAGCAGAGCAAUGUGAAGAAAAUGACAUUUGAGGAAAUUAGGGAACGCCGGAAAAAAGGUCUUUGUGAUUAUUGUCCUGUGAAAUGGUUUAAAGGACAUGUUUUCCAAAAUCAGCAACUUUUACUACUUGAUUUACCUGAUAAAUCUAAAGAGGUUCUUGAUGUUGAUCCUGUGUUAGAUGGUGAUGAUGAAUUAUCGAGUGCUCGUAUUACUGAUUGUGCUAUGUAUGGUGUUUCUACCCCUAAUAGUAUUCCAACUAUAAAGGUCUUGGGGUCUAUUAAACAUUGUCCUGCAGUGAUUCUUUUCGACUCGGGUAACUUUCACAAUUUCAUCAACUUUGCCUUUUUGAUGUGAUGAUUCCAAAUGAAGGUACAAUUUCAAGUAUAGGGUGUUGUUCUCAGGUCAAAAUUAAUAUUCAAGACUAUGAAUACAUCUCAGAUUUAUAUGUUUUGCAGUUGAGGGGUUGUGAUGUUGUUUUGGGAGCUCAAUGGCUAAGAACUUUGGGACUUAUUCUCUGCGAUUUUGAGAAGUUGAAGAUAGAAUUUGCUUUGGGUCAACAACACUAUUGUUUGUAUAGCUCUCCUUCUCCUGCACCAAGUUCCGUAUCAGUGUGUCAAAUGGAACGGUUGUUGAAUCAAGGGUCUUUUGGGGUAGUUUUAUUCCUUCUUGCCUCAAAUAUAGCAGUAGCAAUGAUUGGAGAUCUCUCUGAUAGUCAACAAGCGGUGCAGGAAUUGUUAUCUCAGUUUGAAUCUAUCUUCCAAACACCUACUACUUUACCUCCAUCAAGAUCCCAUGACCAUUAAAUUCCAUUUAUGAAGGGCAGUAAACCACUUCUUACAAGACCUUAUUGUUCUAGCCCUAUGAAAUCUGAAAUUGAGAAAGGUGUUCAGGAGCUAUUGGACUCGGGGUUUAUCUAUGCUAGUAAUAGUCCAUUUUCAUCUCCUGUUUUGUUGGUUAGAAAAAAAGGACAACAAUUCGAGGAUGUGUAUGGAUUAUCGGGCCUUGAAUUUGUUGACAAUCAAAGACAAGUAUCUGAUUCCUUUAAUUGAUGAAUUGUUAGAUGAACUCUUUAGGGCUCAGUUUUUUUCUAAGCUCAAUUUAAGAGCCGGGUAACAUCAAAGAUAAGUAUCUGAUUCCUUUAAUUGCCAAAAUAGCUUUAUGUACUCACAAUGGCCAUUAUGAGUUCCUUGUAAUGCCGUUUAGCCUCACCAACGCUCCAACAACCUUUCAUAGCCUCAUGAAUGAGAUUUUCAAUCCCUUUUUGCGUCAGUUUGUUCUGGUAUUCUUUGAUGAUAUUUUAGUUUAUAGUGCGACGUGGGAGGAUCAUUUGUCACAUCAUACUUCGGUCUUCCAAUUGCUACAACAUCACAAGUUGUUUGUUAAGAAAUCAAAGUGUGAUUUCGGCAGGUCACAUAUUGAAUACUUAGGACAUGUGGUUUCACUACAAGAAGUGGCAGCUGACCCUUCAACAAGUUAUUCAGAAUUGGCCAUUGCUUGUUUCGAUUAAGCCUUUGAGAGGAUUCUUAGGGUUGACUGGAUAUUACCAGAAAUUUAUCCCUGGUUAUGGUCGAAUUUGUGUUCCAUUAACUUCCUUAACUAAAAAGGAUGCUUUUCGCUGGAAUUCAGAGGCCACAGCUACAUUCCAUAGUUUUAAGGAAGCGAUGUUGUCUCCAUUAGUUUUGGCCCUUCCUGAUUUUUCGAAGACAUUUGUUAUUGAGACAGAUGCAUCUAACACGGGGAUUGGUGUUAUUCUACAACAAGAGAGCAGACCUAUAGCCUUUACAAGUAAAGCUCUUGGCCCUAGAUCUCAAGCUAUGUUGGCUUAUGAAAGGGAAAUGCUUGGAAUCGUUCAUGUGAUUAAAAAGUGACCAACUUACCUUCAGGGCAACCAUUUUGUUAUACGAACAGACCAUCAUAGUCUGAAAUAUUUUUUUGCAAAAUAGGGCCCAUACUCUAUUCCAACAGAAAUGGAUUUUGAAACUGUUGGGCUUCAAUUACGAGAUCCAAUUUAAACUAGGCACUGAAAAUCAAGUUGUUGACGCAUUGUCUUGGCUGCAUUCGGAGGCUCAAUUAUGUGCCAUAUCUUAUCCUUACAUGGGUUGGUUAGAUGACUUGCGCAGACACUUGGAGCAAGAACCUUGGAUUAUUUCUAAGCUCAAAGAGUCCUCUGUUUCUAUUGGUGCUGUCGGUACGUCUCUUUUUAAAUACCAUUAUGAUAAUGGUUUUCUCAAGAAUAAGGGAAGAAUUGUGUUGAGUCCUACUACCACUUGGAGGGACAAGAUAUUUCAUGAGCAUCAUAGUACUUUAAUGGCUGGACAUUCUGGUUUUCUGAAGACAUAUAAACAAAUUUCUUGCUCUUUUUAUUGGCAAGGUAUAAAGGCUGAUAUUAGAAGAAUGGUUACUGAAUGUCAGGUGUGUCAACAAAACAAAUAUGAAACAUUGGCUUAUCCAGGUAUCUUGAGCCCACUGUCGAUCCCUCAAACUGUUUGGACAGAUAUUUCCAUGGAUUUUAUUGUCGGGUUGCCACCUUGCAAAGGGAAGACUAUUAUUUUUGUGGUUGUUGAUCGGUUCUCUAAAUAUGCACAUUUUGUGGCAUUGUCACAUCCAUACACAGCCCAUUCCGUUGGUCAAAUUUUUGUUGACCACAUAUUCAAGCUCCACGGAAUGUCUACUACAAUUGUUAAUGAUCGAGACCCCGUGUUCCUUAGCUCAUUCUGGAAGGAAUUCUUUGCAUUACAAGGGUCUAAACUGUGUUUAAGCUCUGGGUACCAUCCCCAAUCUGAUGGGUAAACUGAGGUAGUCAACCGUUGUCUGGAAACAUACCUGCGCUGUCCUUGUAGGUUUCAUUUAAAGAAGUGGCUCCAAUGGUUAUCAUAGGCUGAAUGGAGUUACAACACCUCUUAUCAUUCAUCUUCGAAUCUCACACCAUAUGAAAUUGUGUAUGGCUAAGUUUCUCAUGCUGUUUCAACGCAUGAAUCUGGCACCACCAAACUAGAUAUGGUAGAUAGAUGUUUACAAACCCGAUCACAGAUUUUAUCUCAACUCAAGUUUAAUUUGGAAGUUGCUCAGGUACGAAUGAAGCAACAAGCAGAUAAACAUUAUACUGAACGUACUUUUGAAGUAGGUGACAUGGUCUACCUCAGACUUGUUCCUUACCAACACUAGUCCUUGGCUAGUUAUCCAUUUCACAAGCUACAACCGAAGUUUUAUGGGCCUUUUGAGGUGUUGGAGAAGAUUGAGACAGUAGCUUACAAAAUCAAACUUCCAGUUCACUCCAAAUUACACCCUAUCUUCCAUGUAUCUUGUUUGAAGAAGCAGUUGGGUGUGGAUGUGGCUCCUACUACUAUGCUCCUGGAUGUCACUGAUGACGAUCUGUUACAAACAACCCCAUUAGCCAUUGUUUAGCAUCGUGUGGUCACCAAGGCCAACUCUCAGGUCCCUGAAGUUCUUGUUCAUUGGAAGAAUCAUUGCAAGGAGGAUGCAACUUGGGAAGAGUAUGAAGAUUUCACGCGUCGAUUUCCUUGUUUUCAACCUUGAGAACGAGGUUUGUUUUUAUGAGGGGGUUAAUGAUAGGAUACUAAGAUGGGCUAUCCAAAUUAUGAGAUAUGUGUAUGUUCUGUUGGUUCAUUGAACCCUUGUUAGAUGGUUGACACUUGUCAUUAGAUUGGAUGGUUAGUUAGUUAGGUGGUUAUUGUGUAGAAACUUAGCUUGCAAGUUUGAGAUAGAUAUAUAGCAGACUAAUUGUGCAAAGGAGGAUAUGUUGAGAAAAGUAUAUUGUCGAGUAAUAAUACAAACAGAGUUUAUGUGCCAUGCGUUGAACGUUAAAACAAAGUUCUUAUUAGGUUUUGAUUGCAAGACCCUUUGGUAAAGCUGUGGUAUGAGAAACCUAUGGUGUGAGAAAGUUAAUUUAAAGCGAAACUAAUCUUUUGUUUCAGAUUUUGCGCAAACCAAAUUGGCCUCGUUUGUUAUUCCUUCUUCUUUAGAGCUGAUUUGUUCUUUCUUCAUCUCUCACACACGUGAAAGGAGAAGAAAGACUUACUAAAGUUUCAAAUAAAUUGUAGACUGAUUUAGUAAGCUGAAAAUAGAUCACAUAAAUUCAGAAUAUCUUUAAGCUGAGAACGAAGGUCUCCAAUAUAUCGUGGCACGAUAUCUUAAAGGUCAUUCCGGCCAUUGAUUGAAAAAAUUCGAUGAUGUACUCAGUUAUCAAGCAAGUCCCUUGUCCCAAAUUAUACAAUUGCUGAUAAAUUAUUUUUGAGUGGUUAAGGUGGUACUGGAAAAUUUGAUCGCAUGUGAUUUUUCAUUCUUUUUCCCAAGUAUUUUUUCUUUUCUCUUUCCCAGUAAAAAAAAGUAUUCCACAUCAAAUUAGAACUCAAAAAUGCACACUUCAGGGAUAUGACGUUUUCUCACCCUUGUGAAUCAUUCACAAAUCCACAUUUUCUACUUGCCCUGUACUAAUCUGAUUUACUAUACGUAAUCCAUUAUUACAAGUGAUAUUCUAGAUUAAUCUACACUAGGAGACAUUGAUGAACUCCAGAUGUAGUGAGUCAAAGAUAAUGACUCUAACCCUUAGGUUUGUCCUUGAUGCUACGAAGGGCAUUGUUGAUGGUAAUAUUCAAGGCUGUGCACAGCUUCGUCUUAGGUGGAGCUUGCCCAUCAUUGUGUCAUCUCCUAUCAUUCCGAUGAGGAGAGUAAGGCAGGGUGUCUCGGUCAGCUCUUCUUCACUCACACCUCUUCUUCUGGGUUUUACCAUCCCAAUAAGUGAGUGCAUCAAUGACAUCCUAGAUGGGAGAAUUUAUAAUAAUAAAGAGAGUUCUUUUAGGAUAUAGAAUUCAAGAAGAUAUCUAGGAGUAGAUAUUGUCCUCUUAGGAGUGUGAUUACUUGCAGUGUACGCCAAUCCCUGAUUAUAGAAAUCAGAAUAUAUGAAACAUAUGUGCUUCCCGAUCAGAUCAAAUUUCUGUAUCUUCCAGAACAAGAAUGGUUAUUGUCUAUGAAGUCAACGAACUUUGCCUACUAAUUUGGAACACAUGAUGUGGUGGAUUGUUGGUCCAUUUGUAUGACUUUACGAUAGAAGUUGUUGAGUCUAUGACCAGACAUCUGAGGUGUCCGUAUUCAAAAUUUGUCUUACUCCGGCCCUGAAAAAUCAUGGCCCCACAAACCUUAACAAUGUCAUGGACACCCUUAAAGACAAAUAUGAGGCCUCAGGUCAAAAUACUACUUUACAUUAUCCGAAUUAGUGAGUUCUCAUGUGACAUGAGUAUGAGAACUCCUGGUUAAUCGCGUUCAGUGUAUUCACUCUCUAUUGAGCACUUACAUACUUGUCUGGUGUCUUUCACACUAAUGACUCGAGACCAGUUAUUCUUCAGAGAGAAAACAUAGUAUAUACUGAUUUAUCAGGAUUGUCAAAUACUCAAGUGGCAAUCCUAUGAUUAGGAACUUAUAGGAUAAAGAAAAAGAUCUUAUGAAUCUAACUUCUUUAUAUUAUAUUAUCUUAAUUACACAUUCCUUGGACUUAGUUUUAAUGUGUAUAACAUUUAAUUAGACGGCUUCAAACAAUCAUCUUUGCCCUUAGAUUAAAUUGAAAUAAUUUAAUAUGGUAAAUGUUUGUAAAGUAUUAUCUCAUGAUUAUAUAUAUAUAUAUACACAUACAUAUAUAUUGUCAAACGAUAGAUUUGAUUAGAUUAGAUGUUAGAUUAGCUAAGAACAUAAUUAAUUUGAACCCACGCCAUUGGCUUAACACCUUUUCAAUACUGUGGUAAAUGGCCACUUGCAUCUCAUGAUUAUCUUUAGGCACAUUUCAAACACCCACUUGGAUAAAAAAAAUCCAAGACAUAUAAACUAUACAAUCUUAACACCCUUCAAGUUUCCACUAGUAGAGAUGUUGUAUUUUAUGAAUCACAAUUUCCUUUAUCACCAGUUUCGCUGACCUCACCGUACGUAGCCAAGCUAAUCCGUUCUAGCAUUACCAGCGACUAUUACUAUCCGUCCUGUAGAUUCAUCUUCACCUACAAUGUCUGAUCAUCCCAGGAAUUUCCAUAAAAGAACUUAAAUCAAAAUACUUAAUAGCAUGGUGAUACAAUUAUACAAAACUUCUACCCUGCGCUACUUUAGAAUUAUCACACCAAAUAACUCCUAUCAUCGAGACCAUCCAUCCACCUAUGUUGCAGCCUCAUUUGCGAAAGUCCACCCAAACAGAAACCAGCCCAUCUCCAGGAUUAUGUUUGCAAGCCUGAUGCGUAACCGCCUCCAAAAGCUUCAGCGUUGUCCUUUACAAGAACUCAGCACCCUUUAUGUAACUAUAUUUCUUACACCAUCAUUUUUCCUCUUAUCACUCUUUUAUUGCCAAUAUUACUCAAUUUUAUUAAACCUAACUCAUAUACAGAAGCUGUCAAAGACCCAAAAUGGUAGAAAGCUAUGACCUCAAAAUUGCAGGCAUUGAAAGCCAAGCACACUUAGACCCUCACUUCUCUGCCUUUCGGCAAAGAGCCCGUUGGUUGCAAGUGAGUUUACAAAAUUAAGCACCAUUCUGAUGGCACCAUCGAGCGUUACAAAGCUCGUUUUGUGGCCACAAGUUACACUAAGCUUGAAGAGAUCGAUUAUCAGGAUACUUUUUCUCCCACUGCAAAGUUGGUCACUUUUUGCUGCCUUUUAGACCUCACUGCCUCCAAGAAUUGCUCUCUUCAUCAAUGGAUGUUGAUAAUGCCUUUCUCCACGGGAUCUCUGUUAGGAAAUUUAUAUGGUGCCACCUCUUGGUCUCCAGCGAUAGGGGUAACAUAUGGUGUGUUGCCUAAGCAAGUCUAUAUAUGGCCUAAAGCAAGCAUCUCGACAAUGGUUCUUCAAGUUUUCUGAGGCUAUUCAAGUUGCUGGAUACACUCAAUCCAAAUCUGAUUACACUAUCUUCACAAAGAAAAGUGGUAUUCUUAUUUAUGUCGUUGACAUUUUGAUUACUAGUAAUGACCCCAUUGAUAUAAACAAGCUUUUACUUCACAGUUCCGCAUUAAAGAUUCGGGUGAUCAAAAAUAUUUCUUGGGAAUAGAUAUAGCCUAUUUCAAAAGGGUAUUCUUAUUUCCUAACGAAAAUAUUUGUUGGACAUUCUUAAGGAUGUUGGUGUAUUACGCGGGAGACUUGCCCGGGUUCCCAAUGGAGCAAAAUUUAAUGGUAUUGACCGAUGAGGAUGACUUGUUUCAAGAUCCUUCGAAGUAUCGAAGAUUGGUAGGAAUGUUAAUUUAUUUCACCAUCACUAGGCCUGACAUCACAGUUUAUGUGCAUACUUUGAGUCGAUUCGUGCAACAACUACGCAAGCCUCAUUAUGAUGCAACACUACGUGUAUUCGGUAUCUCAAGAAUACUCUGAGCCAAUGCAUUAUAUUCUCUUUAAAAAAAAUAUUUGUAAUUGAAUGUUCAUUGUGAUACUAAUUGGGCGUGAUGCCCAAUAACUCAAAGAUCUACUACGGGUACCGUGUUUUUCUUGAAAAUUCAUUGAUAUCUUGGAGAGUAAAAAGUAAAAACUAUUUCUUUGUCAUCCGCAGAAGCGGAUUCCCGUUCCAUGUUAGCAACUUGAUCUGAAAUAUCUUGGUUGCAAAAACUUUUUCGAGAUCUACAUGUGGGUGAAAUGGGUCCAUCAGUGUUUUAUUGUCAUAAUCAAGAAGCCCUACAUACUGCAACGAGCCAAGGGUUCCAUGAAAUUAAGAACACGAUAUGUCGAAAUAAUCAUUUUGUGCACGAUAAAAGUCAAGGAGGAGCAGUAAUCACUUAAUUUGUUUUCCAUCAUCAAAGCAGUUACCCGACAUAUUCACUAAGGCCUUGGGGGAAGAAAACUUUCGAUCCUUAUUAAGUAAGCAAGUUGGCGGUUCAUGACAUUUGCUCACCAACUUGAGAGGGAGUGUUACGAUAGUCAAUGAUUUACUACCAAAGUGGGAUUAUUUGAUAUACAAGAAUCAAGGAAGAAAUUGACAUACCUGUUGUAUAUUUGAUUUGAAUCUAGAAUAGCUUAAAUAUAGGAGUUCUUUUUGCUCUUCGUUGUAAAUAUAAUCCCCUGUACUAUUCUCACAUCAAUAUGCAGAGAAAAAAAUUCCUCAAUCUUUUUUUUUUAAUCAGGAUGUACUGUUGGAAAGGAAUGACACAGGCUCUAGGUCCGGAUGGAAUGACACUGAGGUUCUACCAGAAACAUUGGGGGAUUGUUGGAAAGGAUGUGUGCAAUGGUGUCUGGUCUUUAAUACAAUUAGGAUGCAUGCUAAGAAAGGUUAACUACACACAUGUGACAUUAAUUCCAAAAAUCAAAGACCCAACGGAAAUUGCCAUUUCCAUCCUAUUAGUUUAUGUAAUGUACUGUACAAGAUUAUGGCUAAUUAAGGUACUCACCAAUAGAGUGCGUUUGUUUCGGGGCAUCUUAUCUCCGACAAUAGUUUGGUGGCAACUGAGCUAACACAUUACAUGCAUAAAAGAAAAUUUGGGUGGAAUGGUUUCAUGGCUUUGAAGCUCGACAUAAGUAAAGCGUAUGAUUGUCUUGAGUGGAAUUUCUUGGAAGCAAUGAUGCGUAGUUUGGGAUUUUCUGAGGAAUGGAUUCGCUUGAUUAUGGUAUGUAUUUCUUCCGUUUCUUACUCCUUCAAGAUUAAUGAGGAAUUGGUGGGAUAUGUACAGCCGCACCGAAGAUUCGACAAGGUGAUCCGUUAUCUCCAUUCCUAUUUGUAAUUUGUGCGGAAGGACUUUCGACGAUGCUCACGAAAGAAGAGACUGAUGGUCGGCUUAAGGGGAUUCAAUUGUGUCAUGGAGCUCCGGCAAUUCACGGUCGAUAGUUUCUCAUUUACCAAUGGGACAUUUGAAGAUUGCAACAAUAUUAAAGAGUUGCGAGCUGGCUUCAGGACAAGCUGUGCAUCUUUAUAAAAGUUGUGUAUCUUUUAGUAAAAAUCUUACGAAGGUUAACCAACAGUUGUUAGCUAAUUAUCUUAGGGUUCAAAGAGUGGCGUUUCACGAUCGCUACUUGGGUUUGCUAGUAUAUCAGAAAAUCGAAGAAAAAGACGUUUGCUUAUGUAAAAGAUCAUUUGUGGAAGAAACUCAAUGGUUGCAUGGGUGGAUUGUUGAGUAGUGCUGGAAGAGAGAUAUUAAUAAAGACAGUUGCUCAGGCAUUACCAUCAUACACGAUGCAAUGCUUCUUACUUCCAAAAACCUUAUGCGAGGAAUUAAAUAUGAUGAUUGCAAAAUUCUGGUGGAGUGGUGAUCCCUGUAAAAAGAAAUUACAUUGGUUAAAUUGGUGUAUGUUAUGCAAACCAAACAAUGAAGGGGGCUUGGGUCUUCGGGACUUGCUUUCAAUAUUGGGUUGCAAGCUAAACAAGCUUGGAGAUUUGUGUUAGUGUUUUAUAAGGUUUAUGUUUUGUAUGAUUGUUUUGAAAGGUUUGUGUUAUGGAGAAUGGUAAUGUUCUUCACAGAAAUAUGGAAGGGGAAUUUCGGCUAUAUGUAGUCUUACAUUGCAACAACACAUAACACUCAUAUAUAUAUGGUGUCAGUAGGGUUUUGGUGUGUACAGUCAGCCCUUAUCUCCAUUGGAGCUAGCUGACAAAAACCACAACAACCUGAUAGUACAAAGCUAAUCUAAGCCCUUCAUUGGAGCUUUUAAUCUAAGAUUUACACUUGUAAAAAACUAUCACUAAAAAACUAACUAGCCGUUACAAAUUAAAAAACUAGCCGUUAGCUUCAUUUGAUGUUGCUGCUGCAUCCCUUCUCGAUCCACCUGAAAGUGUUUAUCAUCCAACACUCCCCUCUAAACUCUUCCUGGUGUUGACUCCAAGUGGGCUUCUGAGGUAAUUGAACCUUUCUUUUGGUAGUGCUUUUGUAAAGAUGUCUGCUACCUGAUCUUCAGUUGCAGUACAUUAGUUCAAUGACAUUCUCUUGUAUUGCAUCUCUGAUAAAAUGAUACUUCAUUUUGAUGUGUCGUGUUUUCUGAUGAAAUACUGGAUUCCUUGUCAUUGCUAUUGCUGAGGUAUUAUCACACAUUAGCUUAGUUGGUUCAACCUGCAGUUCCCCAAAAUCUUUGAGAACAAAUCUCAGCCAGAUUGCUUGAGAUGUUGCUUCUGCAGCACUCACAUAUUCAGCUUCGGCUGUUGAUAGUGCAACACUUUGUUGCUUAACUGAGGCCCACGAGAAUACACCAGAGCCAAAUGUAAAUGCAUACCCCGAUGUGCUCCUCAUGUCAUCUUCACUGCCUCCCCAGUCACUAUCACAGAAACCGACUAAUAUAGUUGUCUGUCCUUUCUUAUACUUGAUUCCAAAAUCGAUUGUCCCUUGCACAUACCUGAGAACCCUUUUAGCAGUUCCCAAAUGUGUUUUGGUAGGAUUGUGCAUGAAUCUUGAUAGUAGGCUUGCAGCAUACAUGAUGUCCGGUCUUGUUGCUGUGAGAUAUAACAGGCUGCCAACAAUUUUUCUGUAGAGAUUUGCAUCUACUGGUUCACUUCCACCUUCACUUUUGAGUUUUUCAUUUGCAAUUAAGGGAGUGCGUACUGGUUUCAUCCCUUAAGACCAAAUCUAUCUAGAAGUGUUUGUGCAUAUUUCAUCUGAUGAAUGAAAAUGCAAUCCGACUUUUGAAUCACCCCCAUUCCAAGAAAGUGAUGAAGUAGCCCCAAAUCUGUCAUCUCAUAUUUUUCCAUCAUUUCAUUUCUGAAUUCAUCCAUCGUUUUCUUACUGUUUCAAGUGAAGACCACAUCAUCCACAUAGAUAGAUACUAUGAGAAUUUCUGACUUGUUUUCAACCUUGAUGUAAAGUGUUGCUUCACUGAGGCUUUUCUUGAACCCACACUUAGUGAAAUGUGCAUCAAUCUCACUGUACCAGGUUCUUGGUGCCUGUUUCAGGCCAUAAAGUGCCUUCUUUAGUCUAUACACCUUGCUCUCGGACCCUUUGACUUCAAAACCUUGUGGCUGGUCCACAUAGACUUCUUCCUCUAACACACCAUUUAGGAAUGCAGACUUAACAUCUAACUGAUAUAGCUGCCAACCUUUCUGUGCAGCUAAUGCAAUUAGAGUUCUAAUUGUAUCUAGUCUAGCCAUAGGUGCAAAUGUCGCAUUAAAAUCAAUUCCAGGCUUUUGGGAGUAUCCUUUAGCCACCAAUCUAGCCUUGUUUUUUUGCACAGAUCCAUCCAAGUUCAGCUUGGUUUUAUAGACCCAUCUCACACCAAUCACAGGUUUAUCACUUGGUCUAUCAAUUAGAGUCCAAGUUCCAUUUUUCUCUAUCAUUGAGAUUUCAUCUUCCAUUGCUAUCUGCCAUGCCUUGUCACUUUCAGCUUUUUCAAAAGUUUUUGGUUCAGUAACACAAAAAUUGCAAGCAACAUAGAUUUCAUCCAGGCUUCUCAUCUUAAUUGGUGUUGAUCCCAAGCUAGAGCUUGAGCUUUGUUGCUCUUCCUGUUGAGACAUUGAACUUGCACUUGAGUUCUGUGAACUUUGAAGAGUUUGAUAUGGUGAAAUCUGAGAGCUUUGUAUGCUUCCUUCUUCAGAUUCAUGAGUUGCACCACUUCCAUUUUGUGUAGUUCUUUGUUCAGUAACACCAAUUUGCAGUGAUACUUUGUCUUCUUCCACUGCUGUUGUUUCCUAAUUCCACAAUGUUUCUUCAUCAAAAAUCACAUCUCUUGAGAGAUUGAUUUUCUGAGUUUUCAAGUUGUACAAUCUAUAGCCUUUCUCAUUUGUACCAUAUCCAACAAAGAUGCACUUGUUGCUGGAUUCUUGUAAUUUAUGUCUGAGUUGUGAUGGUACAAGUGCAUAACACACAGAGCCAAAAACUUUCAAAUGCUUGACUCCAGGCUUUCUUCCACUGAACACUUGAAAUGGUGUUCGUUUCUCCAAAGCCUUGGUGGGACAUCUAUUCAAGAUAUACACAGCAGUGUUCACAGUUUCUCCCCAAAAUGAAUAGGGCAUUUUCUUUUCAUGCAGCAUGGACUUUGCCAUCUCCACUAUAGUUCUGUUCUUUAUCUCUGUAGUGCCAUUUUGUUGAGGAGUGUAUGCUACUGUGAGUUGCCUUUCUAGACCCAAUUCCUCACAGAAAGCAUUGAAUUCCAGUGAGGUAUACUCACCUCCCCUAUCACUCCUUAUCUUCUUGAUUUGAUACCCACUUUGCAACUCCACCAUUGCUUUAAACUUCUUGAAAAUAUUAAAGACUUCUGAUUUGAAUCUCAUAAAAUAUACCCAACACAUUCUUGAGUAGUCAUCUAUGAAAGUAAAAAAUACUUGUUCCCACUGAUGGAUGCAUUCUUCAUUAGACCACACACAUCAGUGUGAAUUAGUUCUAGUGGUUUUGCAACUCUCCAAGCCUUUCCAAUUUCGAAAUUGUCCCUAUGUUGUUUUCCAAAUGCACAGCCUUCACAAACUUCAUUCAUUUCAUCCAGUUGGGGCAAACAUUGCACCAUUUCAUGUUUCUGCAGGUUUUUCAGACUCUGCACAUGCAAGUGUCCAAAUCUUUUGUGCCAUAAUCUUUCUGAGUCAAUUGUGCUUGCCUUUCUUGCCACUUCUUCCAAGCACUUUAGUAAUAAUGGGAAGCUUCUGUUUUUCAUUUGAACUUUCACAACCAGAUUCGACAGAGUUCUAUCAUCAUAUAUUUCAACCAUAGUAUCUCCAAACAGCAAGAAAUAACCAUGUUCCAUUAUCUGUCCAACACUUAAAAGGUUUUCCUCUAGACCAGGUACCAACAUGACUUCCUUAAUGUGUCUUCUUCCUCUUUUGGUUUCUAUGAUGACAGUGCCCCUGCCAGUUGCUUCCACAAUAUUGCCAUUUCCCAUUUUUACUUUUCCAGUAUAUGUAGUGUCAGUGUCUGUCAAUAGAGACUCGUGGGCAGUCAUAUGAUUAUUGCAUCCACUGUCUAUAUACCAAACUUCACUAUCUUUUACAACACUGGCACUAAAAGCACAAAAACAUUUGUUUCAUCUUGUACUCGAUUUGCAAUGUUCACUUACUGAGUAGUAUUUGAUCUGCAAUCUUUCUGCAGGUGACCAAAUCUAUUGCAUUUGUGACAUUUUGGUUUUCCCUUGAACCAACAUUCACCAAAGUGUGCUUUAUCACAGUAUUUGCACAAUGGUUUAAUUUUACCACCAUUGUUGUUUCCACUGUUGUGUUUAUUCUCCCCACUUGGUCUUCCUUCCCAUUUCUUAUUUUUUUCCUUUCCAAUCUGUCAUCGGUCUGUUUUGAUGUUGAUUAGAAUGACUAGAAGCCCCUAUGUUAAGUGACUGGAAAGCCUUCUCAGUUGUCCCAUCAGCAUGUCUUUCGAGCCUUUGGUCAAAAGCUCUCAAGGAAGCCAUCACAUCUUGCACACUGAGUGUAUCAGUAUCCUUAGUUUCUUCUAUCACACUCACAAUAGAGUUAUAAGGCUUAGUCAAACUAAUUAGAAGCUUUUGCACUAUUCUUUCAUUAGGCAGUUCUUCUCCAUAAGUUUUCAUUUGAGUCACAACAUCAAAUAGCCUAGAAAAAUAGUCUUUAAGUGGCUCAUCUUCUCUCAUGCGUGUAUAUUCAAAAUCACGUCUAAGAGACUGGAGUUUUACUUUCCGUACCUUCACAUCUCCUCUGUAUUCUUGUUGCAGAGUAUCCCAAGCAGCUUUAGCAGUUUCUUCAUUUGCUAUCCUGGGAAAUAUGAAGUCUGAGACAGCCCCUUGAAUGAUUCCCAAUGCUCUAGCGUCAUUCAUCCUAUUCUCCUUCAGUGUAGCUAUCUGCUUCUCUGUAAGAUCCUCUUCUAGAGCAUCAAUCUCCAUUUUUGGUAGUUCAUAUCCAUGUUGAACCAUUUCCCAGAGAUCAUACGACUUGAAGAUGGUUGUCAUCUGGAUCCUCCAAUAGUCAUUGUUUUCUCCAUCAAAGAUUGGAGCUUUAAGAUCACCAUCCAAAGAUCCUUUCAUCUUCGACUUGUAUUAACACCUAGGGUUUCAGCCUCUACCUGAACAACCCCAAAUACAGAUUCCACAACGCCCAGAUUUCUGAGAUCAGGAACUAGGCUCUGAGGCCAUGUUAGUGUUUUAUAAGGUUUAUGUUUUGUAUGAUUGUUUUGAAAGGUUUGUGUUAUGCAGAAUGGUAAUGUUCUUCACAUAAAUAUGGAAGGGGAAUUUCGGCUAUAUGCAGUCUUACAUUGCAGCAGCACAUAGCACUCAUAUAUAUAUGGUGUCAGUAGGGUUUUGGUGUGUACAGUCAGCCCUUAUCUCCAUUAGAGCUAGCUGACAAAAACCACAACAACCUGAUAGUAUAAAGCUAAUCUAAGCCCUUCAUUGGAGCUUUUAAUCUAAGCUUUACACUUGUCAAAAACUAUCACUAAAAAAUUAACUAGCCGUUACAAAUUAAAAAACUAGCCGUUAGCUUCAUUUGAUGUUGUUGCUGCAUCCCUUCUCGAUCCACCUGGAAGUGUUUAUCAUCCAACAAUUUGUUCAGGGUUCGGAGUCCUUAGCCUUUCGCCUUUUCAAGGCUAAACAUUUUCCACAAACAGGUUUCUUGGACGCUCGUGUGAGAGCAAAUGAUUCAUAUUGCUGGAAGAGCAUCACUGCUACAUGGAGCAUGGCCCAUAAAGGAAUGAGGUGGCAGGCAAGCAAUGGUUCGAAUAUCAGAGUCUGGAAGGACAACUGGGUUCCUUGUGAGGAUUUUUUUUCAAAGUCAUCAGUCCAAUACUAGAGAACUGGGAUGAGGAAACAACAGUGAGUCGAUUAAUUUUUUCAUAUACGAGAUAAUGGGACCGCAUGUUGCUGGAACAAGUCUUCAACGCGGAAGAGGUGAAACUUGUUAACAAAUCAAGGAGAUCUCAAUCAGAACAAAUCCCUAAUUAUUUGUUUACUUAGCUUUUUAUGUAUUUGCAUAGUUAGGAAGUUAACUCCAGUUUCUAUGUAGUUGAUUGUGCAUAUCAACUGUAUAUAUUUCUUCUUCACAUAUCAAUGAAAUACACAAUUAUUCUAUUCAAGCUUUCUCUUCUUAGCACCAAAGCCUAGGUUUUCAGAAAAAACACCAAAAAAAAAAAAAAAAAAAAAAAAAGACGAGGCCGUGCUUUGUAUGGAGAACCAUAACUACCAAUUGUACAGUCGCCAUCCGACCAGCUAGCGAUGCCGUCAUUGUUUAUCCGAGUUCACCAAGUUGCUUCAUGCAUCCACCACCAUGAAUCAAGAUUUAACCCCUACCUAAAAUUUGUCCCAGAUUAUGACCUGCAAAUCUGUUUUGUGUGCCCAGAUUCGAUUGAAGCGGCUAUGUUUAGUUUUUAUGCCUAGACUCCGUGACCCCCUUGUUGUUGUUUGAAGAACAACAGAAAAAAACUUGCUGUUGCAAAAAAGAAAAAGGCAAAAACAGCUGUUGUGCUGUUGUGAAAAAAAAAGAAAAAAAAAGCUUGUUGUUUGAAGAAAAGAAAAUGAGGAAGAAGAACGGGUGAAGAAGUAAAGAAAGAAGAAAAAAGAAUAAGGGGAAGAAGGAAGAAAACAGAAAAAAGGAAAUUUGUUGGCAUUUUUGUCUCUGUUUGUUUUAUAAGACCUUUAUUUGGAAGUUUCAACCUUAUCAAUCACCCAUACACGUUGCACCAAAUUCAUCCAGAGCAAUGGUAGUCCAGACUCGUGCAUUGAUUGCAAAAACUAAGGUAGCUUCUGAACAUACACAUAACGAUGGUAAGGCUUUAAAGGUUUCUCCAUCUAUUACAAAUAAUAUAUGGAUAAUUGAUUCUGGUGCUACUGAACAUAUGAUUUGUGAUUCUGGACAAGUACAAACCCUAAAACCAUCCACCAAAAUUGUCGUGAGUGUUGCCAAUGGUAACGUUGUCCCCAUUAUUGGGGAAGGCACUGUCUUCCUUUCUGAUACCCUUAAUCUUGAUUCCAUACCUGUUGUUCAUUCCCUUGACUAUAAUUGAUUAUUAGUUGCUCAAAUCAGUUGCCUUACAUUGCUUUGUGAAAUUUUGGUCUUCUUUUUAUGUUUUUAAGGAUAUUCGAACUUGCAAAACCAUUGGUUAUGGUAUUAGGAAGGGCAAGCUGCACCACUUGGAGCUGACAUCGAACAUUACCGGAAUGUUGACUCAAGCUCUUGCAGUGGAAGGAUCUCAAGGGGAGAAGAAUAAAGGUUCAAAGGUUUGGUUGUGGCAUCGUCGACUUGGACAUGCUUCUUUUGGUUAUUUAUGAAGGUUGUUUCCUAGCUUAUUUGUCAAGCGUGAUGUUUCUAGCUUUAAAUGUGGUAUUUGUGAACUGGCUAAAAGUCAUCAUACUUCAUUUCCGCCCAAUAUGACUAAAAGUUUUGUUCAUUUUAUGAUAAUCCAUUAUGAUGUUUGGGGAGGCUCAUUGGUUCAUUACUUUUAUUGAUGUUUGCACACAUAUGACUUGGGGUUUGUUUGAUGAAGUCCAAAACUGAAGUUACUUCUUUGUUUCAACGAUUUUACAAAAUGGUGCAAGUACAAUAUAAGUCACAAAUACAGGUUCUCAAGUGAUAAUGGCGGUGAGUAUGUGAACAAUGAGCUUCGUGCCUUUCUUGACCAUCAUGGUAUUGUCCAUCAAUCUACACGUUCAAACACUCCUUAACAAAAUGGGCUUGCACAACAUAAGAACUGUCAACUUUUGGAAGUUGUUUGUGCUUUCUUGCUUGAGGCUCGUCUUCCGCUAUCCUAUUGGGGAGAAGCUUUCACUUCAGCUGCAUAUCUAAUUAAUUGUGUUCCCUCUUGAUUGGUUAAUUUUUAGACACCGUUUUAGGCUCUUGCCUCCCAUUUUGAUGCUCUUGCAGUUCCCAAUCUCCUACCUCACGUGUCUGGUUGUAUGGCAUUCGUUCAUCUUCAUAAGUAGCAGAAAAGUAAGCUUGAACCUUGGGCCUUACGAUGUGUGUUUGUGGGGUAUGCCUCACAUCAAAAGGGAUACCAAUGUUAUCACCUUUCAAUGAAAAAGUUGUUCAUCAUUAUGGAUGUUGCAUUUCAUGAGAAUAAUGUGUAUCAUGCCAAUCUCAAGUUUUCACUUCAGGGGGAGAAUCAGAUAGAGUUUAAACUUUUGAUUAUAGUAUUCUAGAUACAGUUAUUAUGAAUGAUUUGGAUUCAAGUGGUGAUGUUUUGGAAACAAGUGGUGACCAUUCACAAGAAAUUAAUGUUGUUAAUGACUUGGAAUUAAGUGGUAAUGUCUUGGAGACAAAUGGUGGUCAUUCACAUGAAAAUAAUGUGAAUGACUUGGAAUUAAGUGGUAAUUCAUUGGAGGCAAGUGGUGAUCAUUCACAUGAAAAUAAUGUUGAAAACCUUGAAAGAGACAAGCCUACGUUGCCGAACAGUAGUUGGCCUCACCAUCUUUGAGCCCCAAUAACCAUAAUCAAUUGCAUUCAAUUUUGGAACCACCACCACCAAGUUGUCUCCCCAACCAUGCCAACUGAGGUAUUCCUAAACCUACCUACAAAGCUAAUCCUAAGUGCAAAACUAGGUAUUUGGUGAAUAAGCCCAACCUUGAGUCUAAUGUGUUGUACCCGUUAAGUAAUUAUGUGUCUAACAGUCACCUAUCAGACUCAAAUAAGUCAUUUGUGUAAUUAUCUACUGUAUCUAUUCCUAACAAUGUGCAUAAGGCUUUAGUUGAUCCACAUUGGCAAGCAACAAUGAAUGAAGAGUUGAAGUCUUUGAAGAAUGCUACCUAGGAGAUCACAGACUUGCCAAUUGGUAAGAAACAUGUGGGAUGCAAAUGGGUUUAUACUAUGAAGUACAAAGUUGAUGGGACGGUAGGAUCGCUUCAAGGUAAGACUAGUAGCUAAAGAGUAGAAUAAAAAAAAUAUGGAAUUGACUAUACAUAUACAUUUGCACAUGUGGCCAAGAUUAACACAGUUCGAAUUUUGUUGUCCUUGGUUGCAAAUCUCAAUUGGCCCUUACAGAAGUUCGACGUGAAGAAUGCUUUCUUGUAUGGAGAUUUGAUAGAAAAGAUUUAUAUGGAUCUUCCAUCAGGAUGUAAUACUCUAGAUAAAUACAAAAGAAAGGUAUGUAGGUUGAAGAAAUCCUUGUAUGGUUUGAAGCAGUCCCCUCGAGCAUGGUUUGGAAGAUUCACAAAAUCAAUGAGAGCAUUUGGUUACAAACAAAGUAACUCUGAUCAUACAUUGUUCUUGAAAAGACGAAAUGGGAAGCUUAUUGCACUUAUUGUGUAUGUAGAUGAUAUGGUGGUAAUAAGAAAUGAUCUGGAAGAACAUUCGACCUUACAAAGAUACUUGCCUACUGAAAUUGAGAUGAAAGACCUUGGAUCAUUGAAAUAUUUUUUUAGCGAUUGAGGCAUCGAGAAGUAAUUUGGGAAUUUUCUUGUUUCAGAGAAAGUACAUUAUUGAUUUGUUACAUGAAACCGGCAUGUCAUCUUGUCAACCAAUAUCUACACCAUUAGAGGAAGGAUUAAAGCUUUGUGUUGAUCCAAAUCAAGUACCAGUUGACAAAGGGAAAUACCAGAGGUUAGGUGGCUGUUUAAUGUACUUAGCACACACAAGACUGGACCUUGCUUAUGCCUUGAGCGUAGUGAGUCAAUAUAUGCAUGAUCCUGGAGAACAACAUAUAAAUGCAGUGAUGAGGAUUUUCCAAUAUUUGAAGGAAGUCCAGGAAAAGGGAUUUUGUUUAAAAGAAAUAACCAUCUUGGAGUUGAAGGUUAUACUGAUGCAGAUUGAGCAAUUUCAGUUGAUGAUAGGCACUCAACAUCAGGUUACUUUACAUUUGUUGGGGGUAACUUGGUUACAUGGAGGAGUAAGAAGUAGAAUGCGGUUGCCUAUUCGAGUGCAGAAGCCAAAUACAGAGGAAUGGCCCUUGGAAUUUGUGAAUUUUAUGGCUUAAACUUCUAUUGUAGGAUUUGGGGAUUAAAAUGAUCAGCUUAUGAAAUUAUUUGUGAUAAUAAAGCUGCCCGUAACAUUGCACGUAAUCCAGUACAACAUGAUAGAAUGAAGCAUGUUGAAGUUGAUAGAUUCUUUAUCAAGGAAAAAUUGGAAGGAAAAAUAAUUGAAGUACCAUCAAUUAGAACAAAAGAUCAGUUGGCAGAUAUUCUCACGAAAGCUAUUUCAAGUCAUAAGUUUUCAUGUUUCUUAGACAAGUUGGGCAUGAGUGACAUAUAUGCACCAACUUAAAGGGGAGUGUUGACAAAUCAAUGAGAUCUCAAUUGGAACAAAUCCCUAAUUAUUUGUAGGCUUUUUUUUUAUUAACAACCCACAUAAUGUUGAAUACACUCCACAUUAAAAUUUAAUAUUAAAUGAUUUAUAUACUCUAUUAUGCAAUGACAAUUUCAACCUUGUAGGGUUUAAAUUUUUUUUUAAAAUACUAAAUACACCUCAAAUCACUUUUACAUGUAUAUUGCAAGAUUAUUUAUCUUCUUCAACUCUCUAAACCAUUCUCACUCUCCAUUGUAGAACUAAAGCCUAAUCGAUGAAACUACAAACAUAUUGACUGAAAAAAAUUAUUUUUGACGAAAAGUACAUGAAAUUGAUGUUUCGGAAGCUGCACCUUGUUCAAAAUGUACUGUCACAGGUGGAUGAAGGUUAAACUUCAUUGGUAUUAGAUUACAUUCCUCCCCUUCUUUCGCAAAGAAGAUAAUGGUGAUGCUGGUUCACAAAAGCCAUGUUCUAAAAAUAAUCUAAUGAUCAGAUAAUACUAAAUUGCAUUUGUGCCUUCAAGAGACAAUUUUUGCAUUUACAGCAUGGUGUUUGAGUAUGAUAUGUGAUGCAUAAAAUAUCAUUUAGUGUGCAUCUCAGCCAAGGCCAAUACUUUAUACUGCCGAAUUUAACUACCAAAUGGACAUAGAGAAACUAAGCUCCUCACAUCAUCACCUUAUUUCCUAAAUUAUCAUUUUUGAGAUACACCCCCUCGCAGAUCAAUGUUGAUCAGAUGGAAAAAGGUUAAGGGAAAAAAUUCAAACAGAUCGCUCUCACCAUCUAUGCUCUUAACCCUCUCUAUUGUGUCAAAACUUCUGCCCUUUCACUUUUGUAUGGUUCCCCAAGCAGCUUCUACUUUCCUUUAUUUGAAUCCUCAGUAGCAGUAAGAAAAUACUUGUAUGUAUGACAUGAAUGAUUUUGUAUCAAAGGCACAUGGCACAAAAAAAAAAAAAAAGAACGAAAUCAUUGUGAAGAGUGUAAGGUUUAUGUUGAAAGUGUGGAGUGUGAGGGUGUUUAUAGAAAGGUAUGUGGGGUGUAUUAAAACAAAUUUUAAUUGAAAAAACAAAUAUGGAGUUUAUUAAGAAUGUGGGGUGUAUUCAAUAAUGUGUGAGGUGUUAAUAUAAGAAGCCAUAUUUGUAUACUUAGUUUUUUAUGUAUUUGCCUAGUUAGGAAGUUAAUGCCAAUUUCUAUGGAGUUGAUUUUACAUAUCAACUGUAUAUAUUUCUCCUUCACGUAUCAAUGAAAUACACAAUUAUUCCAUUCAAGCAUUCUCUUCUAUCCAAGGUAUACCACUCAGUGUUCGCAAUUUAAAUGAUAGAUUAACUUGGCACCACGAACAGAACGGCCGGUUCUCGAUACGCAGUGCAUACCGGCACGGAAUGAUGCCAUUAAUGGGAGUGUUGGCUGAUCGGUCUGGGGUAAAUGGCAACGAUGUGGUACUGUGGAGGAAAAUCUGGGGUGCUCGUAUACCAGGUAAGGUGAAGGUUUGUGCAUGGAGGGGUUGUCAUGAUGCUUUACCUACGCGCACAAAGAUAGCUCAACGGAAAGUUAUACAGGGUUUGGAGAACUAUUCGACUCUGGGUCCAGUAAUCAAUGAUAUCAGAUGGUUAUUACAAGGUUUGGAGAACAUAACGAUAAAUUUCGUGCAUAGGGAAGCAAAUAAUGUUGCCCAACGUUUGGCUCGCGUGGGACUGGGAUGCUUGGUCGAGACCCGAUGGAAUGGAGACCCACCAGACUUAAUUUGCGAUGCUUUGUUAGAAAACAAUCCUUUGUAAUGUUUUCUUUUCGUUGUCAUAUUGAGGAUAGUUAAUUGUGCGAGACACUCUUUUUCCCUUCGAUUGAGUUGAAAUCCUGACAAGGUUUUUAUCGAAACUCAUAUAUGCAUUAUAUCCUCAUAUGUACAUAUUCUACUGAAUCCUUAAUGAAUGUUGUAUUUUUUCUCAAAAAAAGUCAUGACGUACUGUUCGCUCAGGUUUUUGUGUUUUCUCCUUUCUUUUCUAAUACAGUUAAGACGAAGGGCUAACGUAUGAAAACAUAAAUUAAUGUAUAAUAAAGUUAAUAUGAACUAUACUUCUAUGGCUAAUGUAUUAUAAUAUUAAUAAUGUGGACAAAUUCUAAUCCCAAUUUAGAAUACUAACUUUGAAUUUUGUAUAAUAUGAAUCUAGGUAACAACGAGUGUGACGAAAAUCUUGAACUUCCGUGAUGGUGAGUUUUGCUGGUUCUAAUUUAACAAAGCGAGGACUAUAAGAUAUAGUUUCUCUACCAUAGGGGAAAUAACAAGUGAGUUUUCGUAUGUGAUAUGGUAGCAUGUAUCACUUCAAUAUUUCGUGGAAAUGAAAACAACAGAUAGAGGUCAGUUCAUGGGAGUUUUAAAGAAAACAGUAUAAUAUGUCCAUGAAAAUUUUGAAGUUGCAGCAUCUAUUUGUCUUUUCUCCUGAUUUCACUCAAUCCAAAGUUCCAAACAUAAAUUUCACUGUGCUUUAUGGUUCCUGGAAUAAUAGUGCUAUCCGCACAUGCAAAUUUAUUUCUUUCUUAUAGUGCUAUCCACGCAUGCAAAUUUAUUUCUUUUCUAUAUUUCCAGCAAUUAUCUCUUAAUUCGCUAAUAUUUCUUGUCAGAAUAUACUAACAAUGUUUCAAACUAUCAAGCAACUCUAUGUCUAGCAACAAAUUUAGAUAAUCGAAACUCUUUACGCUCAAUGGAUAAUUAUAAGAAAAUGCACAAAUCAUAACAAGCAUGUCUACUUGACAAUGUAAUUCAUAGUCAUUGUUAUGAGAGCCUAUUUACUAAACACAACUUGUCAGCUACAAGUUAGUUAUUCACACAAAUAAAUGUUUAGUUAUUUGAUAACAAUAAAACACAAUAACAAAUUAUGAAAAAUAACUUAGAUUAAUAUGAAAUAAGAGUAUAGAUGUUCAUGAUAAGAGUACACACUAGCCCUAACAAAAGGACUGAAUUCAUGAUAAAAUUAAAGUACACAAGCUGAAAUUCUAAAACAUAGUGAAAAACAACCGGAAUUUCAAUCUCCGCUCCACAUCAAAGCUUGAAUUGUCCAAUUAAUUCCUUCCUCAUGCUCUCAGCUUCUCUCCCUCCCUGUUGCGCAGGGAGAUUCUCUUCAAUUUGUGUAGCAUAUCCCUUUUUAUAUUAUCUUCUUCUCUUCCUUUUGUCUCACGCAACAAGGAGAUUAAACCAAUUAAUCCACACCAAUUAAACCAAUUCGCACCACUUGACUGGGAACAGACUAGCCCAAUUAGAGUAGGAAACAUACAAGUUACAACCAUAGUGUGUUGACAUGCACUAAGUCGAAUAAUCCAAUUUCUGCACCGAUCGGCAAAGCUCACACAGCCCAACCUUGAUAACUCCUUGUGUUUUUCAUAUUUUCGCCGUAAAAUACAUGUUUUUCUCUUCAAUUAUAAUUUCUACCAAAAUCGCACAAAACGUAUUAAACCUAACAAAAUUAUGACUAAAAUUAGGUAAAAGAGAUACAAAAUAUAUGUAAAUAUCAACCUAACAAUAUGCCAUUAGGUUUUGUAAUUAGGAUCGAAGUUAACUACUUUUUUUUUUCUUUUAAUGGCUCUAUUAAGGGUCUAGCAAGGCAUUAUGCUUAAUCAUUUCUAACUAUGAAGAACUAAACUCAUGAGCCCACUGAUCGUGAUCAUGGUAUAAAAUAUCGAUGAUAUCGGAAAUAUCAGUAGUCCAAAAACAUGAAAAUGUCAAUGGAAAUAUCAAGAUAUUAUCGAUAUUGAUAAAAAUUGAAUAAAAACCACGGAAAUUGUAAGAAAAACUUGGAAAUUUUUAUUGAAACUUUGGAGAAUGUUUAUUUAGUCAAUUAUCUAUUAGUUUAUAAAAAAAAUAUUAGAAGGAAAUGCAUUACAUGAUGGAUUUAACUGAUUUAAGUUGAUUAUACAGUGAGCUGGUAAACACUGUGAGUGUAGAAAAUAUGUAGUAAUUAAUGAAAAAAAGAUUAAAUGCACCAUAAUCAUUUAUAUAUAAUGAUUUACUACAAUAUUUUACACUUUAUACAUUGCAUGGUAAGAUACAUGAGUGAUUUAGUACCACAUAAAGUUCCUAUGAGGUUCAAAAUUUUCACUAUCUUCAUCAUCUUUAUGUGUAGAGUAAGUUUAUUGUGAAGAGUAUUCAUCAGAUGAUAAAUCCCCAAAAUAGUUUUGCAUGUAAUUGUUAACAUGCGACUCAUAUAAGUAUAAAUAUUUUAGCAUAUUAUCACUAAAACAUAAGUGAUAUAUCGUGGUUAAGGUGUUGUAGGAGUAAAAUGGGAGGGGUUCAAAUCCCCUUUGUGUUUUUUUUCCUCCCUUUUUUCCUUUUUUUUUCCUUCUUUUUCCUUUUUUUUUCCUUCCUUUACAUCGAUAUUUUCGAUAUUUUAGUGAUAUUACACCGAUAUUGUGACAAAAUAUUGCUGAAGUGUGAGCGAAAUUAUCGACAUCGAUAUUUUCCGAUAUUAUUGUUGAUAUUGUCGAUAUUUGUACGAUAUGUACAUAGAUAUGUUCCGAAAUAUCCGUGAUUCGAAAAAACUGAAAUAUCCUCGAUAUUUCGUCGAUAUUAUCGAUAUUUCAGACUAUGAUCGUGAUGCAAUAAAAUUCAGUUCCAUUUUACUUUUGUUGUUCCGCAUGAUUUAUCAAAUUUCACUUAAAUGUGUGAAGUUAGAUAUUUGGUCUUGAUGUUUUAUGGAAGUUUGUACAACAAAAUUUUAAAGUUUGCACAUGAGUCACAUGUAUCAUGUAUGUAAAUACUGAUGCUUACCAUAUGUGUGUGUGUAUAUAUAUUUAUUUAGAAUUUUGUACAUGUUUUAUAUGGCUUUAAAUUUCGCAUCAUCGCGCGGACACCCUCGCUAGUAAAACAUAUGUCACAAUGAUAGAUAAUGUUAAGUCACCACAUUAAUAUUUAAUAAUAAAGUAAUAAUCGAUUUCAGCAUGUUUAAAUGUCUAUAGUAAUGUUAUCUAUACCAUGUUUUUGUACCACAUUUUCAUACCACCUUAGGUGGCAUUUCAUGUAGACAGCCACAUCAUUUGAAUUAAUCAGAUUUUUAAAUUUAGUUCAUUAUUUAAUAAACUAAUAAUUAAGAAAAACUAGUUAAUUAAAUGAUGAUUGUGGUAUACGAGGAGUCUUUCUCCUUCCUCUCCUUGGGUUUUGCAAAUUUUUCAAAUAAUGUGGUUGUCUACAUGCCACCUAAGGUGAUAUAGAAAUGUGGUAUAAAAACAUGGUAUGAGUAAUAUUACUCGACGUUCUUGUGCUAGGGCGAGUUCACGAGUCUUAGUAAGAAUAUAUAGUUUAUUUUCAAUUUACUUAUGAUAUUAUGCAUGCAUUCUUUGAAUUAUUAAUCACUGUUUUAAACUCCCUAGCAAGAAUAUGUAAUUUAUUUUCAAUUUACUUAUGAUAUUAUGCAUGCAUUCUUUGAAUUAUUGAUUACCGUUUUAAACCAUCUAAGUGUCUUAGUGAUUUGUGACCAUUAAGAUCUUUAGAAAAGUAAUUUGAUGCAAUUUUGGUCGGAGGGUUCUUUGAAAUUGAUGCUGGCUUCUUGUGGUUAGUAAUUGUAAUUUCACUUAAGAUGAACACACGUCUUAAGCAUUGCAUGGAUUUUCCAAAGGGUUUUCAUAAAGCACAAUGAGUCUCUCAUGUUCAUAUUUGAUCCAAAUAUCCGGACGGAUUGCAUGUUAGAUAUACGUUCUAUGUUGGAGGUUCCAAGUAGAAUGUAUAUUAGGAAAACCUAACCUUCAAAGUAGCAUGUGUAUAUCUAUUUAAACCCGAUUUUACACUAUCGGCCUGAGCAAUCAAGGCCAUAGAAUGAGUAAAAUUCUAAACCGUUGGAUUGAAAAUUAUUUCUAAAAGUGCAGUUGUUUAUGGGUCGGUUUUGUGCACGUGGCUUAAUUGUCGUGUGGUAACAAAGUUUCAGCGUUGCUUUUCUUUGUAGAAAGCAUGGGGUAAUGCUAAAAUAAUGAUGAUGGAAUUAUGAUGAGGUAAGAAGCCUAGAUAGGCUAGGCUUUUGGUCAUGAUGGGAUAAGUCAGGAUGGGCUUUUAUCUUGUAUGAAACGUCAGCCAUUUGGAUGAUAGGCUUCAACCUAUAGAUGAAAUAAGGAAAUAGUGACGUGAUGCUGCAUGAGGUUACCAUGCAUGCAUAGAUAACGAUUAUGAAAUGAUGGUGGGACCGAAUAUCCUUGGCAGGAUGCCAAGAGUUUUAAUCAAAUGGCAUCACAUACAAGACUUGAAGAUAAAGUGGCAGUACGUUAGGUUGCUACAAAUGAACACGUGGGGUCCAAUUUGCAUGAGAUGAUUAUUUGUGGUUGAGCUUUGAGUUAAUCAAAUGUGUUAGAAUGAGAUAAAGAAAAGUCUUGAUGAGCAUGGCAUGGGUUCAAGUGUUUAAACUUUGGCGAUGCAUGCACUUGGACGCAAAUAUGGGCAUUAAUAUUGCAUGGUUCCUCAGGAUGCUAUAGAAAGAGUUUCAUGUGCAUCCAAAUUGGUCUGAUUCCAUCAAAUCCAACAACCAAUGGCCAAUAAGGAUGCAUCAUUGUCAAGCGGUCAAUUACCGAAUCAGAUGGCUAUUAAAAAUUUUAUUUGUAUCAAGUGCUUAUCUUCAGGAGUCAAUUAACGAAUGGGAUGGCUUUCAAGAGUUUUAUUUGUAUCAACUGCUUAUCUUCAGGAGGUUCAAGUUGUGGCCAACUACGGCUGUUCCGUGAGAAACACAAGCAAAUAAUGCUAUAAAUACAUGAGGCUGUGCAACAUUUAAGUCACCUCCAAUUCAACACACAAACUGCAAUGCGCAAACCCUCGCUCUACAUGAAACCUCUCAACAACCUUGAGAUUUUUAUUUUCUUUUUCCGCCAACACAUCUUCAGUUUGGAUAAACAGCACUGUGAAGGCAAUCGGAGACACAUUCAGUUUGGAUAAACAACACUGUUGUUUUAGAAUCAGCCGAUCGCGGAGCACCUUCAAUUUGGAUAAACAACACUGCAUCGAGGCAAACUGGUUACCUAUGCAAGUCUCGGUCGAGAAGAAUUUUUUAAUCCUUAUUGGCAGAGGUCAUCUCAUUAGCUUUCUCGGUGAAGUGAGGUGUUACAAAUUACUAGGCUCGACACAUUGAACGCCGAGUUGUUUAUGAUUGGUUAUUCACAAGUAAGUUUUAGAGUUUGGCAUUCUGACGGCUGAACCACAUUCACAAUCAAGACGUACAUCUCUUUUGAGUACUUGUGUCCAUAUAGUUUGGUGCCAGUUCGGCGAUCUUAUACUCUUACGAAUAUAAUCACCGUGUCUGAACCUGGCGCCAACGAUCCGUGAACUUCGUAGAACUAGCAGCCUUGUCUUCAGGCUCUAAAACUCGAAGGUCGAGACGUGUUCGUUCCUCGGCUGCAGUCGCAAGAUCAAAAAUUCAGCAGCCUGGAAAUUCAUAUUUGUGCCAGUGACUUUGUAAUAGAUUCUAAAAAUUAAUGCCAAGGGUUGUGUUCCUUCAAGGACUUGAUAUCAUGAAGUUUUAAUGUUUAAUGUAAGUGUUUUCAGCAUGUGCAGAUCUGAAAGACUUAUGGUAAAGUCUGGAAAACAAUCAAAAUGGAUAGGUCCAUUAUAAAGACUGGAUUCAAUCAUUCCAAGUAUGCUAUCACUAAAAUUAGUAAAUCUAGCAUCUCGGAGACAUAACAAAAUAGAGGUGUUAAGGCCUCUACGUGUUAAUGGUUUUAUAGCUAUUUGAACUAAACCUAUGUGGAUAUAGUUAUGACCAUCUUUCUUGUGUAUUUUAAUUUGUUCAGGGGAAAACAAUUGACAAGUUUCAUGUUCUUUACUAAGAGCAUAAGCUUUUUCAACUAUUUUAACAUGAUGUUCACUUCUAAAUGAGGCUACUGACCAUUUCUUUUUGUAAAUAUUUUUACUUGAAACCUUGGGGAUAUUCCAAUCUCCAAAAUCAACAUUGUCAUCAGUUUGAAAAUCAAGUUUUUGUUCUUCAUUAACAAUAUCUGGAACUGUGCCUAAACUAGAUCUAGAGCUAGUGCUGGCCAUUGAAUUAGAUCAUAAGAACUGACUAAUUCCGUUUGGUAAUUGGGUUGUGGUUGAUGAUAAUUUAGCCUAAGGUUACUUACUGUGGAACCUAAGGGAGUAAAACGGUUGGUAAUGAUUAGGGCCGAUGAGGAAUCGGGAAUAUAUUCCUGUUUUACUGGUGGUGGAGGUAGAGUGGCUGAAAGCGUCAUCUGGCUAUUGCUAUUGCUCUUGUUUGUCAUUCUUCCCCUGCAAAAAUUCUCUUGUUAGGAAAUCGGGGAUGCUGUUAUGGCUGCCUUUAAUGUACUCAAUGUCAAAAUCGAAAAUGCUUAAUAUGGCCUGCCAUGGUGCAAAAAUUUGUUUUGAUGCAAUGUUUUGAACAUCUUUUUGUAAAACAUGUUUUGCAGAUUUGCGAUCGACUCGGACUAAAUUUUUUUGAUAAUAUAUAUAUAUAUAUAUAUAAUGUUAGCUUGAUUCAGGUUGCCACUACCGAGAAGUGAUUAGAACGUUCAUGAUUGGGGGCAGGCCGAGCUGCCAAGAAUGGUUUUUCUCGGCCAAGGUGGCAGAACAGAGCCAGUUAUCCACGUGAUUGUAAUGUGCUGAGCCGCCAAGAAUGGUUUUUCUCGGCCCCAUUUGGAAUUCAUUAGUCUAUCGACCGUAUAUGUUGAAUGGUCGAAGUGAUUACGGGGUUUAGCUACCAACAGAAGUAAUUGGCUUCAGCUUAUGGACAUGUUAUGGCAUGAGGAAUCGUGAUCUGCUUCAAGGUACAAGGCUAAUGAGGAAUCAUGAUUUGCUUCCAAGCUGUCAAAAUACCAUUGGAAAGACAAGUGUUUUUUUUAGGCUGAGCUUGGCCAACUCAUCGAGGUAUACUUUCCAAGUUAUGUAACCAAAUAACUUUUGAAGGCCAGGAAACUUGGCCCAAAUUUAGAACAACAUGGUACGGAGUGAAUUUUUAUUCGGCGGUGGAUGCUCAUUUCUCCUUAACCAUAUAUUUCUAGGUGUCACUCAGAAGUGCUCAGUGGUCAGGGAAUGUACGAUUAUUGGUUCUAGAUUUUUUGAACUGACAGUCGUUGAGUGCACAAGAGAGUCCUCUGCUUUACCAAAUCACUUCAUUUUCGGUGAUAGAGGGGUUUUUUGACUGCGUUAAUUUCCUUAACCAUUCAGCUUACCAGCCGAAGCUCAAGGAAACUAGGAGGCAAUGUUUAACACUAUAGGUCUGAGCAAUCAAGUCCAUAGAAUGAGUAAAAUUUAGAGCCGUUGGAUUGAAAAUUAUUUCUAAAAGUGUAGCUGUUUAUGGGUCGGUUCUGUGCACAUGGCUUAAGUGCCGUGUGAUAACAAAGUUUCAGAGUUGCUUUUCUUUGUAGAAAGCAUAAGGUAACGCUAAAAUAAUGAUGAGGUAAGAAGCCUAGAUAGGCUAGGCUUUUGGUCAUGAUAGGAUAAGUCAGGAUGGGCUUUUAUCUUGUUUGAAAAGUCAGCCAUUUGGAUGAUAGGCUUCAACGUAUAGAUGAAAUAAGGAAAUAGUGACGUAAUGCUGCAGGAGGUUACCAUGCAUGCAUAGAUAAAGAUUAUGAAAUGAUGGUAGGACUGAAUAUCCUUGUAGGAUGCCAAAAGUUUUAGUCAAAUGGCAUCACAUGCAAGACUUGAAGAUAAAGUGGUAGUACGUCAGUUUGCUACAAAUGAACACGUGGGUCCAGUUUGCAUGAGAUGAUUAUUUGGGGUUGAGCUUUGAGUUAAUCAAAUGUGUCAGAAUGAGAUAAAGAUAAGUCAAGAUGAGUACGACAUGGGCUAAAGUGUUUAAACUUUGGCGAUGCAUGCACUUGGACUCAAAUAUGGGCACUAACAUUGCAUGGUUCCUCAGGAUUCUAUAGAAAGAGUUUCAUGUGCAUCCAAAUUGGUCUGAUUCCGUCAAAUCCAACAACCAAUGUCCAAUAAGGAUGGAUCAUUGUCAAGUGGUCAAUUAACGAAUGAGAUGGCUAUCAAUAUUUUUGUUUGUAUCAACUACUUAUCUUCAUGAGUCAAUUAACGAAUGGGAUCGCUAUCAAGAGUUUUAUUUGUGUCAACUGCUUAUCUUCAGGAGGUUCAAAUUGUGGCCAACUACGGAUGUUCAGCGAGAAACAUAAGAAAAUAGUGCUAUAAAUACAUAAGGUUGUGUAACAUUUAAGUCAUCUCCAAUUCAACACACAAACUACCCUGCACAAACCCACGCUCUAUGCAAAACCUCUCAACAACCUUGAGAUUUUUAUUUUCUUUUUCCACUAACACAUCUUCAAUUUGGAUAAACAACACUGUUGUCGUGGAAUUAGGCGAUCGCGGAGCACCUUCAAUUUGGAUAAAUAGCACUGCGUCAAGGCCGACUAGUUAUCUAUCCAAGUCUUGGUUGAGAAACAUUUUCGAAUCCUUAUUGGCAGAGGUCAUCUCAUUAGCCUUCUAGGUGAAGUGAGGUGUUACAAAUUAUUGGGCUCGGCACAUUAAAUGUUGAAUUGUUUAUGAUUGGUUAUUCACAAGUAAGUUUUAGAGUACGGCAUUCUGACGGCCGAACCACAUUCAUAAUCAAGACGUACAUCUCUUUUGAGUACUUGUGUCCGUAUAGUUUGGUGGUUUGGCAUGCUUAUACUCUUUCGAAUAUAAUCACCAUGACCGAACCUGGCGCCAAUGAUCCAUGAACUUCGCAGAACUAGCAGCCUUUUCUUCAGGCUCUAGAACCCGAAGGUCGAGACGUGUUCCUUCCUUGGUUGCAGUUGCAAGAUCAAGAAGUUAGCAGCGCGCCCAACGUGACGUCAACACAUUUUACUCCCUGGCCGAGCUCGGCCGAUGCGUUAGCACGCCCAACAUACAACCGAAUGACGUAGUUAGCUUUUUAAUUACUCGGCAUGUGCGCCACGUAGGCUUGGUAGUUUUUAGGAUCAACAAUAUCAUAAGUAAUUGGUAAGAAUACAUAAUAUUGCUAGGUAACAGUGGAACCCUAGUGCUUUUAUAAAUUGGUAUUUAAACUCUUUUCUUUUAUCAUAUUAGUUUUGGGCGAAUUUACUAUUUGUAUUUAAUUAAAAUUUGUUUUUAAUAUUACCCAAAUUCAAAAUCUCCUUUGUCAACUUUUAGUCUUAAGUAGUUUAUUAGGAAUUGUUUUUGCUUAAAUUAUUAAAAUUGUUCUUGUGGGGAACGACGUUGCAUGAGCAUCUAUACUACAACAACCUUGUACUCUUGCAAGUAUUUUGUGUGAUUUUACCCUUCUUUUUUUAGGUACUAAAAAUCUUAUCAAUCACCUAGGAAGGAAAAACAAUUUUUCACAAGUUUAGAGGCUGAGAUCAAAUUUCUUCUUAUCUUUGGCACAUAAAGCACUUAUUCAAUUGUAAAAUGAAACCAGAAUUCAGUUUUAACCUAAUUGACCCAACAACUUUAACUGCAACUUUUGUCCCUUCCCCCACAAAAACAUUAAAACCAUGCAUUGAGUUAGUUAUGUGAAUUGUGCAGCCGGUAUCAAACCACCAUGAGUUAAAUGGAACCUCAAUUAAGUUUGACUCUACACAUACAUUAACUAUUUUUUUUCCCAUUAGCUUUUAGAUAGUCCUUAAAUAGUUCACAAUCUUUUCUUAAAUGACCUUGAGUUUUGCAGAAAAAACACUUAAGUUUAGCUAUGUUUUUAACUUUAGGUUUAAGAUUGUUAGACCCUUUGGAAGAUUCAAAUAUUUUAGCAGAAAUACCAGUCAUAUCAGAAUUCCUAGAGUUCUUGAAGUUCUUACCUGAAUUAUUUCUAGUAUUGUAUGAUUUCUUCCCUCUUCCUCCUUGCACAAAAUUCGUAGUCUCAACAUCUUUGCAUUUUUCUUGCCUUUGUCGAGUUUCUUUUUUAACAACAAGCCAAUUUCUCUCCUCCAUUUCUUGUAGUUACUCCCGCCAAUAAGAAUUGGGAUAUUUGCUAAGUUCAAAGUCUUCAAGGAUAUUGUAGACACUGUAGAUGAAAUCACAAACAUGAAUCAAUUAUGUUCCUGAUUUCUUUUGCAGUUUGCACAUCAUAACUUAAAUUAAUGAUCCAUACAUAUAGACUUAUCAACCCAUGGUUGAUAAGCAUACAUAGAAUGACUGACUCAUCAAGAACUUAGUAAAUCACAAUCAGAUAUGCAAUAAUAGACAGUUCUCAUGCAUGUUGCAGAUGAUUUAUUUUAUUUUAUUUUUUAUUUUUUAUAUUUUUUGCAAGAUAUCGAAAUAAUUGCAUUCUUCAUCAGAAUAGUUAGUCUUUUAUAUAAAGGCUUCAUCAUUAAUAUCACAGAAUGUUAAAUUUCCUUGAACUAAUUUUGAUCAUCCUGUCUUCUACAUCAGAAUUUUGAUAAAACUCAAAAGAAAACCUAAAUUCAAUUUAUGCAUCAGAAUAAACUUGGAUGCAUGACUUCUACAAGGCAGUAUGUAAAACAAGACAUACCUUCGGUAGAUGAUUUCAAUUUGGAACAGCGCAGCGGAAUCAGUCAUCCAAUUGAACGAAGUUUAUUUUUAAUUCACAAGGGAAAACCCAAACAAGAUUUCAUAUGAAGAAGUUUUAAUGGAAACCUAAUCAGAAAGCCCCCAUCCAAUAGAAUUAUAGGAAAUCUAACGGUAACAUUUUUCAGAAAUCCAACGGUAAAUUUUCAAAGCUGUUUUGUUGUUAUCUGUUUAUUUGCAACCUGGAACCCGUGUUCGAUUCCUCAUGUUUGCAGUUUUUUUAUUUAUUUACAAACCAUUCGAUUUUAAGGCUGAAUCCAUAAACAUGUAAUUCAGGCUCAAAUACCACAUGUUAACAUAAACAUAUCACCAGAAACAUGCAAUAUGAACCACAGUACUUCAAAUACAAACCCAUGUCCAUAAACCCUUCAACACAUAAGGAAAAACUUACCUGUAGAUGAAUUCAAGGAAGCAGCAAUGCUCAAUUUCUGCAGCAAAGUAGCAGUGCACCUUCUCCUCUCUUCAGUAAUCAAAUUGCUCUUAACUAAUAAUAGAUCUUAGUCCAAAUCAAGCAACUCUAUGUCUAGCAAUAGAUUUAGAUAAUCGAAACUCUUUACGCUCAAUGGAUAAUUAUACGAAAAUGCACAAAUCAUAACCACCAUGUCUACUCAAUGAAGUAAUUCAUAGUGAUUGUUAUGGGAGCCAAUUUACUAAACACAACCUAUCAGUCACAAUUUAGUUAUUCACACAAAUAAAUGUCCAAUUAUUUGAUAACAAUAAAGCACAAUAACAAUUACUCAACAUGAAAAAUAACUUAGAUUAAUAUAAAAUAAGAGUAUUAGAUGUUCAUGAUAAGAGUACACACUAGCCCUAACAAAAGGACUCAAUUCAUGAUAAAAUUAACGGAACUUUAACGAAAAGCUUCCGGUACUAUUCACUUUAACAAAAAAUCAUAUUUUUACACUAAAAAGUCAAUCCUAGUACUAUUUACUUUACCCUUUAUUUUAUCCUUAGUGUUAAAACUCAAAAUUUUCAAGCUAUUUUCAUUAGUUUUCCUUAAAAUUAAAGUACACAAGGCUGAAAUUCGAAAACAUAGAGAAAAACAACCGGAAUUUCAAUCUCUGCUCCACAGCAAAGCUUGAAUUGUCCAAUUAAUUCCUUCCUCAUGCUCUCAGCUUCUCUCCCUCCCUGUAUGUGUGUUGCGCAGGGAGAUUCUCCGCAAUUUGUGCCGCAUAUCCCUUUUUAUAUUAUCUUCUUCUCUUCCUUUUGUCUCACGCAACAAGGAGAUUAAACCAAUUAAUCCACACCAAUUAAACCAAUUCGCACCGCUUGACUGGGAACGGACCAGCCCAAUUAGAGUAGGAAACAUACAACCGUAGUGUGUUUUUCAUAUUUUCCCGUAAAAUACAUGUUUUUUUCUCUCAAAUUAUAAUUUCUACCAAAAUCGCACAAAACGCAUUAAACCUAACAAAAUUAUGACUAAAAUUAGGUAAAAGAGAUACAACAAAUAUGUAAAUAUCAACCUAACAAUAUGCCAUUAGGUUUGUAAUUAGGAUCGAAGAAGUUAACUACUUUUUUUCUUUUAAUGGCUCUAUUAAAGGUCUAGCAAGGCAUUAUGUUUAAUCAUUUCUAACUAUGAAGAACUAAAUUCAUGAGCCCACUGAUCGUGAUGCAAUAAAAUUCAGUUCCAUUUUACUUUUAUUGUUCCGCAUGAUUAAUCAAAUUUCACAUAAAUGUGUGGAGUUAAAUAUUUGGUCUUUAUGUUUUAUGGAAGUUUGUACAACAAAAUUUUUAAGAUUGCACAUGAGUUACAUGUAUGUAAAUAGUAUUGCUUACCGUAUGUGUGUGUGUGUGUGUAUUUAUUUAGAAUUUUCUACAUGUUUCAUACGGCUUUAAACUUCGCAUCAUCACGUGGACACCUUCGCUAGUAAAACAUAUGUCACAAUGACAGAUUAUGUUAAGUCACCACAUUAAUAUUUAAUAAUAAAGUAAUAAUCAAUUUCAACAUAUCACAGCCCGUCCCGAAAUAAUUAGUUUCGACAGUGUGAAAUGACGACUUUACCCUUAGACGUUGAGAUUGUGAUGUGUGUGUGGCAUACUUUUGGGACAUAGACUAUUAUGUUGAGUUCCUAAGUUUUGGACUCAAUUAAAAGUUAAACUUUUGUUUGUUUUGGUUGGUGACCAAGUAAGGACACACACACACACACAAAAGCACCCCGUGCACUCUCUCUCUCUCUCCUUCUCUCGACCUUCCUACCAUUUCGGUACAAAACGUAUGGACGAACACCCAACUCACAUUUCACGCACGGAUCAACGUCAAGAAGGUAAGAUUCGAACUCCUUGCAAGUCUCUAAGUUCAUAUAUGCCAUUUUUAGAUUGUGAAACCCUCAAAACCUUGAGAAACCAUCACCCCCGAGUUGAGUAAUGUUCAUGUGGUCAUAAUUAUGGAUGUUUUAGGGGAUUUUAAGCUAGUAGGAAGCUUUAGGACGUUCUUACGAAGCUUGGAGAAGAAAAACCAAGCAAAUUGGACAUCGGGAAGUCGAGUUCAGAGAGUUUGAAAUUUGGCCGGAAUUAUCGUGCCAUCUCCAGCGAGAUCCCAUGAUUUUUGGAGCUUGAAAUUGGUAAGAAUAUGUUCUAAUCGUUGUAAGCUUCAAUUUGAUUUAAGUUUCAUGAAUUUUGGUGCAAAAAUGAAGAAGUUAUAAGGAUUUUUCGGUUUUCCAUUUUCCGGGCGACGGUCGCCGGAGUUCGAAGGUAGGAGAUGACGGAAUAUUCGGUCAAUAACGGUGUUAGUUAAUUUUAACGGAAUAUUCCUAACGGCCGUUAGGCCUCAGUUAAGGUUUGGCCGCGCGUGGGGGCGCGUAAGACCGUGUCCUUGCAGGCGCGUGAUGGCGUGUGAGGGUUCCAAAAAUUAUUUUAAAAUUUUGGGCGUGUUCGUGGAGUUGUGUAGGUCACGAUAGUAUAUUUAUAUACCUCAUUUGAGCAAUGUAUGAGAAGUUAUUAGCUAGUAUUGGUUAUGUGCUUUAAAUUAACGUUUUUAUAGUUGUUUCGCAUAUAGGGGAGACUAUCCUGAGGACGAGCGCAGUCAAGGACGACUCGGGGGCUACGACCCUUCGACCUACCAGUGAGUGGGCUUUUGGUUUUCAGUAUAUAAUUAUAUACUUGAUAUUUUUCCCAUAAAAUGUGUUUAAAUGAAAGUAUGCUUUGAAAUGUCAUGCUAAAUUUAUAUUCAGCAUAUGAAUUAGUAUAUGAUGCAUAAUAUGAAUUGGUGUUGUGGACGCUCAGGUAAGUUAUGUUUGUUAUAUGAGAUAUUGAUAAUGUGAUACAUGAUUGAGAGCUCAUAAACUUGCACCCCGGGUGAUUGUGAUUUAGCCAGAGAUAUAGUACAAGCAUAUUUAUAAUGUCACCUCCCGCACCAUAUGCUCACAUUGGAUCCAAUUUAGGUGCACAGUCUUGUCGUACAGACGAUUAUAGGUGGUUCCGACUUGUAGGUGACUAGCGAUUUAUUGCACAGCUAUCAUGAGAACAUAGCAUUGAGCAUAACUAUAUUACACCCAGUCUUGUCAUUCAGACCUUUGCAGUGGUUCCGACUCAUGUGCAGUGUAGUGCCGUUUAGGUCACUUACAGUGACUCUGGUUAGAUUGACUAAUGAGCUAUGAAUUCAGCCGUACAGACUUCUGCAAGGGUUCCAGCUAAUAUGUUAUUUAUCCAUGAAUUUAUUUUCACCUGAGUUAAUUAUUAUGUGUUAUGUUUUGGCAUGGCAUACUUAUGAAUAUGGAUAUGUGAAGCAUGAUUUGAAUAUAUAUAUAUAUAUAUAUAUAUGUUUAUAUUCCAUUUCUGGGAAAGUUAUACAUGUUUUACGGCGAGGGGUUAGAGCUUUUGAUAAAUGAAAUGGUUUUGAAAAGCUUUAUUUUUGCCCACUCACACUUUCUGUUUUGCGCCCCUCCAGGUUUUAGAUAAGUUUGUUCGUUGGUGGCUCACGAGGAUUAGUGGAGGUUCUGACAGACUAUCACAAUUGUAGGGCAUCUUUGGGUGUCGUUUAAUUAGUACUUAUUUUUUGGAUUGAACUUAGGCUACUUACGCUCUGAUUGUGUAUUCACACAUAUUCUAGCACUUGUCUUAACUAGUACUCUUAUGGAUUUGACUUUUAUUUAUUCGUAUUCUCUAUUAUCAUUAUUGCUUCCACACUGUGCACAUGGCUACGUCACUCUCACGUGACUGUCGGCAUGCCACGAUUUCAGUCGGGGUGUGUCACAACAUGUUUAAAGUAUGAUCAUUGUUGCAUGUGGAAAAAUUCACAAGUAGUAAAUCCACCACCGGUUCGUUUUAUUUUGAAUUUAUUAUUAUCAAAGGAAGGCAGAUACUUUUCUUGUUUGCAUAUGGUGCAAUAUUAUGCUGAAUAGGGUGUUGGAUUUCUACCCAUGCGUCUCAGAUUUGACCCCUCCCCUAAAAUAUUAUAGUAGUCUUGAACUCUCUCCACAUCCUAAAAAAGAAGAGGAAGAGGGUUUGACACUCUUACAAUAAUUUAGAAGAUAAAGAAAUUCUAAACCUAAAACACAUGAUGAGAACAUUCUAUCCAUAUAGUGAAUUGCAACUGCAUGUUUCUUUUGCUUGCGUGGUGUGCACUAGCUCCAAUAGCAAAUGCUUAGAGAAUAUGAUAACAUUAUUUAAAUUUGAAUGUAUUUACUUAACCACUUUAUUACCAAGUAAAUAUGGAUGACUUAAUUCUACAAGUUUCAUGUAACCCCUGCAAUGUUUGACAUGCUUCCCCUGAAAUUCUACAAGUUUUAUGUAACCCCUGCAAUAAUUGAAUUGUUCCCCGAGCCAAUAAUUGAUACGUUUGGUUAAUCUAGAGUCUAAAGGUUUCAAAUUCUGGAAUAAUUGACAUGUUCACGAUCUGCAAUAAUUGACAUGUUUUUCUCGAGCCAAUAAUUGAUAAACUUGGCCACUCUAUAGGUUUCAAAUUCUAGACCCUAACUUGCCACUUAGUACUACGGUCUAAUAGUAUUCAUCUUUAUUUGUACGUAAGAGGUCUUAGGUUUGAUUCUAUUCAAAGACGAAUUUGAACCAAUUUAUGGCUAGCCAAUUGUGAGGCUAAGAUGUUCAAUUCUAGUCAAAGACGAAUUUGAAAUAUUUUAUUGCUAGUCAAUUAUGAGGCUAAGCUCACUUCCUCCCCUUUAAUCCCCUUUAAUGUAAAAAAAAUAUCAUCUUAUAUAUAUAUAUAUAUAUAUAUAUAUUCUAAACCCAACUUAUUUUUAUCCGUCAUCCAACUCACUUUCACCACCUGCAAUUAUUGACAUGUUUUCCCCGAGCCAAUAAUUGAUAAGUUGGUUGCUCUAGAGGUUUUUCCAACUAAUUUUUUCCAUCGUCCAACUCACUUUCACCAUUAGAUUAACCAGAGUGGUUUGCACUGUGUACAUGUAUUAAUUUAUAAAGAGAUAUUUGUCGAUUUCCUCCCAAACUUGUAAAGAGUUGCUAAUUUUCUUUAUGAAUUUAAUUUUAGCAUAUUACUCUCUCAACUUUUAUAAUUAGCUAAUUUAUUUUGGAAUUUUCUAUUCAAUUUUCUAUCUGUUUUGGUCAUAUGGCAAACGUUUGAGGGCAAUAAAGUAACUUUAUUCCUAACAGCAUAUUGCUUUUUUUAUUCUUAUUCUUAGUCAAUUUUAGCCAAUUACUCUCUCAACUUUUAUAAUUAGCUAAUUUCCCCUGACAGAUUUUGGAAUUUUCUACCGAUUUGGUCAUAUGACAAAUGUUUGAGGGCAAUAAACUAACUAUAUAUGUUGAUGCACAAAAUCAACAAGGACCUUGGUACAAUAGAAAGUGUUAAGUUUAUGACCUUCGCUAGAUUGCUCCGGUCACUAGUCUGGAUAAGUAUGUAACUGGAUAGGGAUAGGGAGGCAAACACAAGAUGUACGUGGUUCACCCAAAUUGGCUACGUCCACGGAUUAGAGGAGUUCUCAUUAAUUAUGAAGGGUUUACACAAGUACAUAGGUUCAAGCUCUCCUUUAGUGAGUACUAGUGAAUGAUUUAGUACAAAUGACAUUAGGAAAUAUUGUGGGAGAAUGAUAUCCUUUUAUAGAAGAGUUUCUAGCUUUGUUCUGACAUUGACACGUGUCGUGUUGUGAUUGGCUUCUGAUGUUGACACGUGUCGCACUGAGAUUGGCUUCUGAUGUCGACACGUGUCGCAUUGUGAUUGGCCUCCUAGUUGGAGGGAAACUCUUCUGGGUCAUUGACGGUAUAACGUUGACCGGUGCUCAGUAGUUUCGGGAUUGGUCAAGUAUGGUACAAACAGUGCUCCCCUAAGUUCCCGAGUGAGGGAAGCUCCUCGGUUGGGGACUUGCAAGAUCCAAGCCGCUGAGUAAUCACGAAACUUCUAAGUACCGAAAUGUGGUAUCGUCUUCACUUGCCUUAUCUGUCUCAUAGGUAGAUGUGGCAUCUUCUGUAGAAGUAUUCUUUCUCCAUCCAGGGGUGGUAUCUUUAACCGGUGGAGAUGCACAAGGUAAUGUAUCAAUUUCACUUGAAGCUUACUUGUAGUUUCAGGCUUGGUCAAGCGCGAUACAAACCAUGUAGUAGGAGUCCCCCAAGUUGCCGAGCUAAGAGCUCUGUCGAAAAAGGUGAUAGAUAAGGUAAGCAAUCAGAACUCUAAGCAAUCAGUCCCAGAUCAAAAGUUUGAUUUCGAGUUCCGGCUGAUUAUUCUCAUUCUCCCUAUCUUGCAGGCAGCAUGAAUGAUAAAGAGAAGAAAAAGGAGAAUAGAUUAUAUGAGGUACUUUUGCUUUUGAAAAAGUAACUUUCCACAAGCUUAUUCUUGAACUGGGUUGGAGGGUUUUCUGGUUUCCUCCAGAGUAUAUGGCCGACUCAAGAAUUUGAAGGUCAAAAUAAGUCCAUCAAAUCUAAAGUACGUUCGACCAUGAUGAUAUGGGAUACGUUUGAUGUUGACAAAGUAGUGGAUGUAUCGGCACGUGUUCUGUUACGCUUGUCUCCACAUGUUUCCUUGUAUCAUUCUCACUUGCCCUAUCUGUUCCUCAAGCAGAUGUGGUAUCUUAUCUGGAAGCAUAAGAUGUUGAAGAUAAGUACUCGAGAGCAAUGCCAAGUAAGUAAUCAGGCAAGGGGUUCUAGGCAGUCAGUUCCUUACUAGAAGCUUGAUUCCAAAUGCUGACUGAUUGCUCUCUUUCUCAUUGUCUUGCAGGUAAGAACAAGGGUAAAGGAAAAGACAGGGAAAAAGCAUGAUAUGGGAUACUCUUGCUUUUAACCCUAAUGAUAUGAGAUACUCUUGCUUUGGUGUGGCUGGUUUGCAUAGGUAUUAUUGGAGGGGGGGAAGAAAGUUGAGUAUUUCGAAAGGUUUCGUUGGGAGUGCCCUCUCAGAUAUGAGGAAGGGUUGAGCAUUUUUACAGGUCUGCCUGUCCGUGGAGGAUGGAGAUCGAUAUAUAUAGGAGUCUCUCUAACAACAAGUAGUAAUGAUAUUCCUUUACCCUUCUUGGUCAUAGCAAUGUAGUGGGAGCUGCAAGCUUCACGUGUUUUAACUUUGUCAGAGCACUUUGAAAAAGUAGUAUGUGGUAUUUGGAAAUCUGAUGUUGCGUGUGAAGAUUGCAGACAAGCUUUAUCCAAGGAAAUCUGGCUCUCGAAGUUCGGAGAGCGGUGCUUCUUCGGUUUUCAAACAAGCAAUCCUGUCGGGGAUCUGGCUUUCGAGAUUCGGAGAACGGUGCCUCUUUGAGUUUUGAGAAAGCAAUCCUGUUGGAAGUCUGGCUCUUGAUAUUCGGAAAGCGGUGUCUCUUUGAUUUUUGAGAAAGUAAUCAUGUUGGGAGUCUGGCUCUUGAGAUCCGGAGGGUGGUGCCUCUUCGAUUUUUGAGCAAGUAAUCUUGUUGGGAGUCUAGCUUUUGAGAUUCGGAGAGCGGUGUCUCUUCGAUUUUUGAGAAAGUAAUCCUGUUGGGAGUCUGGCUCUUGAGAUUCGAAGAGCGGUGUCUCUUCGAUUUUUGAGUUGUUGGGAGUCUGGCUCUUGAGAUUCGUAGGGCGGUGCCUCUUCGAUUUUUGAGCAAGUAAUCUUGCUGGGAGUCUGGCUCUCGAGAUUCGAAGAGCGGUGCCUCUUCGAUUUUUGAGCAAGCAAUCUUGUUGGGAGUGUUUUCUCGAAUGUGAGUAAAGGUUGGGCAUUUUUUCCAAUCUGCCUUGCCACGGAGCACAGAGGUUAACACACAUAAGGACUUUCUAGUUAUCAAGCAGUGGUGUUGUUCCUUUACCCUUGUGGGUAAUAGUAGGGUAGUUGGACCUUUAAAAUUUACAUGUCUAAACUUUGUCAGAGAUCUUUGGCAAAGUUAUUUGUGGUACCCGAGGAGCUGAUGUUGCAUGUGGAAAGUGGUGCCUCCUCGAAAUCCGGAGAGUGGUGCCUCUUCGAUUUUUGAACCAACGGCCAUGUUGCCUUUUCUUUUAUAAGGGCACCAAUUGUGUGCAAGAAGUACAUUCAGAGAGUUAUUGCUUGUAGGAAUUUUCCCCUUAUUUUUGUAAUUCAGAGAUUUAUUAGACCUCAUUUCUCCUUCAUCAUUUCUGAAAAUGUCUGGCCCAUCCGACAGUCGUUUUGACUUGAACUUUGGUGAAGAGGCAACUAUGUCUCCUCAAGACAACAUAUGGCGCCCAUCCUUCUUAUCCCUUGCUGGUCCUAUUACCGUUGGAGACUCUGUGAUGAAGAAUGAUAUGACCGCUACGGUGGUGACCAGGAACCUUCUCACUUCUAAAGAUAACAGACUACUUUUCAAACGGUCUGAUGAGUUGGCUAUAAAAGAUUCCCUGGCUUUCAGUGUUCAGUGUGCAGGUUCUAUGUCUAAUAUGGCCCAACGCUUAUUUGCUCGAACCUGCCAAGUUGAAUCAUUGGCGGCUGAAGUGAUAAGUCUCAAAUAGGAGAUAAGAGGGCUCAAGCAUGAGAAUGAACAGUUGCACAGGCUUGCACAUGACUAUACUACAAACAUGAAGAGGAAGUUUGACCAGAUGCAGGAAUCUGAUGGUCAGAUUUUACUUGAUCAUCAGAGGUUUGUGGGUUUGUUCCAAAGGCAUUUAUUGCCUUCGUCUUCUGGGGCUGUACCGCGUAAUGAAGCUCCAAAUGAUCAACCUCUGAUGCCUCCUCCUUCUGGGGUUCUGUCCAGUAUUAAGGCUCCGAAUGAUGACCUUUCGGUGCCUUCUCUUUCUAGGACUCUGUCGAUUGCUGAGAUUUCUUCUAAGCAACCUUUGUGAAUGCUCUCUCUUGUUUGUUUAUUUUGACUCAUGUAUAUGUACAUAUUUGUAACUUAUCGGAGAUAUCAAUAAAUAAGUUUUGCUUCAUUUCAACGUAUUGUGUUAAAUGCACCAAAGUUUUCUUCACUAAGUUCUUUGAAUUUUUUUCUUUUGUUGAAGCAUGUAUGUUAAGCUUUGUGAGUGAAGCAUGUAGGUUGAGGUAGUGUUCCCUUAAUUUCCCGAGUGAGGAAAAUUUCUCGGUUGGAGACUUGAAAAAUCCAAGUCACUGAGUGGUCGUGAGACUUCCAAGUAUCAAGAUGUAGUAGCAUAUGGUAGGAGUCCCCCAAGUCUCCGGUCGAGGGAGUUGACAAAGGAGGUGUCUUGCUAGUAGCCAAGCUUCUAAAGUAACAAAACUUCACCAUUUUCCUUUCUAAGUGGUAGCCCAAAACUCCUCCUUCAUAUAUAUUUGUUAUGAAAGUUGUUAGGCCCAAAGAAAAGGAGGCCUAGGCAAAUUAUUUUUUUUUCGAUUUUUCAAAUUUUUGAAUUUCUGAAUUUUUGAAUUUUUGAAUUUUCGAAUUUCCGAAAAAAAAUAUAUAUAUAUAUUAAGCUUUGUAAGUGAAGCUUUGGUAUUGAAGCUUUGUUGGGUACCAUGAAUUGAUUUUGCUUCACAUUAUCUUGAUCAAGAGUGUGUGAAGCUUUUGUGGGUGAAGUUUUUGUGAGUGAAGCUUUUGUAGGUGAAGCUUUUGUGGGUUAAGCUUUUGUGGGUUUUGUGGGUGAAGCUUUUGUGGGUUAAGCUUUGGAGUUGAAACUUUUGUUGGGUACCAUGAAUUGAUUUUGCUUCACACUAUCUUGAUCAAGAUAGUGUGAAGCUUUUGAGAAUUUGUAGUUGUCCACCAUUGAUGAAGCUUUUGUGUUGAAGCUUUGUAGGGUACCAUGAAUUGAUUUUGUUUCACACUAUCUUGAUCAAGAUAGUGUGAAGCUUUUGAGAAUUUGUAGUUGUCCUCCAUUGAUGAAGCUUUGUUGAAUUUCCCUUUUUUUGUUUUUUUUUUGGGAAAAUUAGAAAUUUGAAAAUGGGAGGGAGACAACAUAUACAAAUUUUGCUUCCACAUUGUUGAGCAAGAGAUUGUAAUGCAAGCCACAGUAGUCGAAGGUUUGAAUGAACCAUAUAAAUUGAAUUUGCUUCGAACAUUCAUAAUCAAGAGUGUGUGAAGCUUUCUACGAGUUGUAGUUGCCCUCUAUUGAUGAAGCUUUUGUUGGUGAAGCUUUUAUGUUGAAGCUUUGUAGGGUACCAUGAAUUGAUUUUGCUUCACACUAUCUUGAUCAAGAUAGUGUGAAGCUUUUGUGUUGAAGCUUUGUAAGGUACCGUGAAUUGAUUUUGCUUCACACUAUCUUGAUCAAGAUAAUGUGAAGCCUUUGAGAAUUUGUAGUUGUCCUCCAUUGAUGAAGCUUUGUUGAAUUUCCCAAUUUCCUUUUUUUUUUUUUUUGUUUGGGAAAAUUAGAAAUUUGAAAAUGUGGGAGAGACAACAUAUACAAAUUUUGUUUCCACAUUAUUGAGCAAGAGAUUAUGAUGCAAGCCACACCUUAUAAUAGUCGAAGGUUUGGAUGAACUAUAUAAAUUAAAUUUUCUUCGAACAGUCUUGAUCAAGAGUGUGUGAAGCUUUCUACGAUUUGUAGUUGUCCUCCAUUGAUGAAGCUUUUGUUGGCACCAUAAAUUGGUUUUGCUUCACACUGUCUUGAUCAAGAGUGUGUGAAGCUUUUGAGAAUUGUGGUUGAACUCCAUUGAUGAAGCUCUUGUUGACACCAUAAAUUGGUUUUGCUUCACACUGUCUUGAUCAAGAAUGUGUGAAGCUUUCUACGAGUUGUAGUGUUUGCAUUGUUACAGAUGAGAAAUGUCUGAAGCAGAUGCAAGAGGGCUGAAUAGCUUGAUCUUCGUAUGCCAUGCACUGAAGUUGUUGUUGGCUUACAAUAAGACUUUGUUGGUGACUAUAACUCUUGUUGGGCAUAAGUGCUCCCCUAGUUAAGUUGUCAAGCUUGAAGGUUUUUGAUUAUUUGUGAAUGCUAGGAGUUCACAUGUACAAGUUGUACCAUUCAUCUUUUGGUAGGUGGAAUGAAUGGUGAGUUACUUUCAUCACUUGGUUGGUGGUACGAAGGUGAGUUCCUUCAUCACCUUUCAUCACAUUUCAUCAAUUGGUUGGUGGCACGAAAAUGAGUUCCUUCUUCACUUAGUUGGUGGCAUGAGUGGCAAGUUGCCAAAUAAUAUUAGAGUACGGGUUGUAUAUUUCACCACUUGGUUGGUGGCAUAAAGGAGAGUACGGGUUGUACAUUUCAUUACCUGGUUGGUGGCAUGAAGAUAAGUUCCUUCUUCACCUGGCUGGUGGCAUGAGUGGCAAGUUGCCAAAUAAUGUUAGAGUACGGGUUGUACAUUUCAUCACCUUGUUGGUGCUAUGAAGAAGAGUACGGGUUAUACAUUUCAUCACCUGGUUUGUGGCAUGAAGAUGAGUUUUUUCUUCACAUUUCAUCACCUGGUUGGUGAGAAUAAGGGCAAGGUGUCGAGGCACAUUGUAGCAAGUGUCGAAUGACACAAAGUAUGUUGAACCCUUUCGAAGCACAGUUGGCUUAUGUAUGGAUGUGUUGGAAUGUAUGAUGUUUAUGUAUGAAUGUGUUGAAAUGUAUGAUGUUUAUGUUGAUUGAUAUGAGUAAUGCUUAUGAAUGUUUUGCUAUGCAUGAAGGGAUCCAUGCUUUUGAUAUGUGAACCAUGUUGGUUAUAACACUUAGUAUCACAUAAUUUGUGUCAAAGUACGCAUGUUGAAUCUCUGAGUUGGAGUAUAAGGGUAGGUCAGCGUAGACCAAGUGUUCCAGUGCUAGGAACGCAAAAGACUCAAAAGAAGUUGUCUGAAUUCCCUUUUCUUUAAAUAUUUUCCGAAUGGCUUGUGUGACAAAAGAUCUCAAACGGUUGAGAGUCAAAACAUUUGUAAUGUGUAUGCCUUCUUAUAAUAGUAUUUCCUUCAGUACCUAGUCCUCCACUUUGAAAGAGUGAGGCUUGGCCCCAUAGUCAUAAUAGUCGACGGUACGUUCACCCCUGGUUGUCUUGAUACGAACUUUUAUCCCUAUUAUUGUAAUGGGUUUGCUGAGAGUAAAAAUCCUUCCUCUUACCAAGAGACAGAUACGUUUGGUGACUUAGUGAGUAGCUAAAUGAGGCAGGAGAUGAUGCAAUGGGUGUCUGAAUGGCCAAGAUCUCCUCACUUGGUAGAACUUGACUUCCACUUCCCACUUGUUGAUAGGGGUUAACCAUAUGGGGGUUCCUUUCGUAUGUCCUUGCUUCGGCGGAGGUGUGGUUGUAAGCCUGUGCCAUCACCUCAGAGUAAGUCUUCCAACUGUUGGCAUUGAUCAUGUAUUUGAAGAAACAAUCAUGUACGCCUGCCAUGAAGGCCUUGAGGGCGGUCUUGUCAUCUGCCUCAGCGCAACGAGAAUACUCAUGGCUAAAGCGACCGGCAUACUCUCAUAGUGACUCGUCCGGCUUCUGGCGAAUAGUGUACAAGUCAUCUGCAGAAUGCAAGUGAUCAGUCUGAAAGAUGUGUUGAGAGACAAACAGUUUCCUCAGUUCCUCAAAUGAGUCUACUGUCUCGCGUGUUUGAGUAUGCCUAGUUUCAUGGAGCUUCUCAAAGAGCUUCACACACUGCUCCUGGAGGACCUCAUUCUUCAUUGCUAUCUUGUUGUUCUGAGCUUCUGGCUCAUCAACUUUAGCUUGAAGAGCAACCCUCUUUCCUUCCUUCUUUCAUUGCUUCGUACUAGGUGCAAAAGGGGUGUCAUUCUGUGUGCUGUGGCUUCCUUCGCUCCCCAUGUUGGAGAGGGAUGCAUGGUCAAAAGAGAGUGUAUGAAUGGUGGAAACCAGCUUGGCAAAGCUGAAGAGAGUAGGAAUAAGUGUUGUUCCCACAGACGGCGUCAAAUGUUGAUGCAUAAAAUCAGUGAGGACUUUGGUACAACAGAAAGUGUUAAGCUUGUGACCUUCGCUAGAUUGCUCCAGUCACUAGUGUGGAUAAGUAUGUAAAUGGAUAGGGACAGGGAAGCAAACACAAGAUGUACGUGGUUCACCCAGAUUGGCUACGUCCACGGAAUAGAGAAGUUCUCAUUAAUUAUGAAGGGUUUACACAAGUACAUAGGUUCAAGCUCUCCUUUAGUGAGUACUAGUGAAUGAUUUAGUACAAAUGACAUUAGGAAAUAUUGUGGGAGAAUGAUCUCCUUUUAUAGAAAAGUUUCUAGCUUUGUUCUGACAUUGACACGUGUCGUGUUGUGAUUGGCUUCUGAUGUUGACACGUGUCGCGCUGUGAUUGGCUUCUGAUGUCGACACGUGUCGCAUUGUGAUUGGCCUCCUGGUUGGAGGGAAACUCUUCUGGGUCUUGACGGCAUAACGUUGACCGAUGUUCAGUAGUUUCAGGAUUGGUCAAGUAUGUUACAAACAAUAUAUAUACCCAUGUUAACUUGGAAUGAACCUAUAUCAAUUUAAAAUGUACCAACAGUAACUUGAAAUGUACAAUGUUAUCCAUUUCAACUUAAAACGUAUAAAUAUAUCGGCUUAAAACGUACCAAAUACAAACUAUCAUUUAAAAGGAAAUGUACCACUAAAUUCUAUUUUCCAAAGGUACCAUGGUAUGUGAAAAAAAUGGAAAGGUGGGUAAAAUAUGUGCAAAAACAAAAAGCUCACCCUUAAUUUGGUAUCGAUAUUGAUCAAAAGGUGUGUAUAAAAUAAUGGUUAAACUGCUAUUUGACCCCUUGAACUAUUAUCCCAGUUAGAAUUGUCUCCUGAACCAUUUUUUUUGGUAAAUUAACCCCCUAAACUAUUUGAAAUUGGCCAAUUACCCCCAUGUCGGUAGAUUCCAUCAAUUAUUUCGUCAAAUUCAAGGGCAACUUAGUCUUUCCAUCAGCAAUUCUUACUUGUCAACCAUAACCACCAAUAAAAUUAUGACAUAUGGACACAAAAUAAUGUGUAAUGACAAUGUGAUGUAAACAUUUUGUUUUUUUUUUUUUUUAUGUUUUACACAUUAUUUUGUGUCUAUUUGUCAUAAUUUUAUUAGUGGUUAUCAAUAACAAGAAUUGAUGAUGAAAUGACUAAUUUGCCCUUGAAUUUGACGGAAUGGUGGACAAAAUUUAACGGCAAGGGGUUAAUUGACUGAUUUUAAGUAGUGCAGAAGGUUAAUUUACCAAAAAAAAUAUAUAGUUCAAAGGGUCAGAUUUAACUGAGGUAAUAGUUUAGAGGUCAAACUGCAUUUUAUCCUAAAAUAAAAUAUGAAAGAAAUGAAUACGACCGAUAAGGGAGGAUGGAAGAGGGUCAACUGACCGAUUAAUUGAGGAAAGCAAUAGGGGCAUUAUAAAAUUGCUAAUGGUUGCAAAAGAAGAUAGCAGAAACAUAUAUCACGUUGGUUUGUAGGGCCCGACAAUUAAAAAAAAAAGUCGCCAGACCAAUUAAACGGCAUGGACGGUUUGGUUUAGUUGGUUUUUUAUUUUUCGGUGAGUAAACUGAACUGCACCGACUAAAGUCAGUUUGACAAGCGGUUCCUAUAAUUCUUGAACAUUAGUUAACCAAACCGACCUGUGGUAUAGUCAUAACGUGUGGUACAGUGAUUCAUAAUUAAAAAUAAUAAUAAAGAAGGCGGGACACCAAAUUUUACAAAAUUUUAAACAUCUUUGAAAUUUGACAAAUCCACUUCCUUCUCCAUGCCCUCAUCUCUUCCACUUUAUCUUCCUUUCCCCUUUUUCAGUUCCUUAAUUUUUGUCCUCUAUUUUUCUCUCUCUCACAGUGACUUCCAUAUCUACUCUAAUCCUAUGUCCUCACAAGCACCCCUGUUUAUACUUCCUCUCAAACCUUCUUCACGUUUCCCCAUUCGUCCCUCUACUUAUGCCAAAAGAACCCUUCUUCCUCCUCUAAGCCAACUUAGUGGAGAUGGGACUCUAUGCACCAGAAUCUCUUCAAACCUGCCAUCUAAAGCUUUGUUUUUGUAGCAAUUUACCCCAAUUUCGUUAAAAAGCCUUAUAAAUUCGGCCUUGGUUUCGCCCUCUUUCUCACCUCCGCCGCUCACUCCAUUGAUCUGUCUGUCCAUUGCUCCGCUGUCACUCCAUUGAUCUGUCCGUCGCUCUGUCGAAUCUUAUCGCUUCGCCAACCAAUAGGAAGAGUUUACAUUUGGAUGAAUAUUCCUUUUUUUUUUUGUUGGGUAAGUUUGAUUUUCAUUUGUAUCAUUUUUUUUUUUUUGGAUAUUCCUUUAUUAACGAGCCUUUGAUAAUAACUUGUCACAGUAAUGUUUUUCUUGUUCAAAAACUACCCCUAUGCUUAUUCUCUCUUAUGAAUGAUGGUGGAUGACGAUUGGGUUGCAGGGCAGUUUGCAUUUGCUAGCCCUUCUCACUUUAUGGCUUAGAAAUUCGUAUGCAAAUUUUUGGACGGAUUUUUAGGUUAGAGUUUUGAAUUUGAUUCUCUAUAUUCUCACUCAAAUUUUGGAACUUUGCUCUUGUAUUUUAAUUUUGUAUUAUAUUUGUUCUAAUACUGUUGUAGUUGUUUUGUUGGUUUGAUUGCGGCUUCCAUUUUCUCCACUUAACUAGUUCAGGGGCCAUCAUAUGGUUAGUAAAUUGAAGAUGUUUCCCUCAAUUUCAUUAAAUAACUUAAGCUUGAAUAAAUCUUGGUAACCAAUAUAUUUGAAAUAUGUCCAUUGUGAUAAAAAAUCAGUGGGAUUAUCCACUUUGUUUCUUAGGUAUGUGCAUGAGUAUGUCUUGUUUUGAUUGAGAUGUUAAGGGAAAAGCUCCAGUGUAAUAAAGAAUAGUUUGUACAAAGGUCUCUCUGUCUCUUGCCCGCUCUAUCUAUAAUUGCAUCAAAUUACUUUGAUGUAAAUAAAUGGCACUCCUAAUUUCAAGUUGUUUUCUUAUAUGUUUUGGUUGUGGGUGUUUAAUGAAUGGAGACACAAAUGGUGGCUAUAAAUGGUGCGACUCAUGUUCAUGGCUUCUCAGAAAAUGUAUUUGCCUUAUCCAUGUUCUUUGCCUAUUCAUUAUAUAUUUUUUUGUUUUCUUCCUUUAUGUGUAUUUUGAUGUGCACUCGAGUCUUUUCUCACACUAUAUUUUAUUGCUUUAUUUCAAUCUUUUCUGCAAUAAUGAUAGAUUCCCUUGUUCAAGAAACUUGGUUGAAAUGGUAAUUCCCAACUUCAAGUAAUUGUUUAUUUAGUACAAUGAUUGCAAAUAUAUUGACCGAUAGGAGAAUUCAGGUAAUGCUUUUUCGUUAGUUUUGAGUAUGUUUGUUGUUGUCGGUGCUUAUUGAUUUUCAAUACUACUGAAUGUUUGUGAUUUACGUUGUUUAUAAUUUCAAUUGUUCAUAGGUUAACAACAUGUUCAUAGUAUUAACUUUCAAAGACAUUUGAAGGUGUUCAAGGAAAAGUGAAGCCUUUCAACCGACUUUCCUUGUUAUUUGAGGCCUAGUUAAUGAUUCAUGUGUAAUUUGACAUUUCAUAGUAUAAAAUUAAAUCAAUGGUAGUGUUGUUAGCUUUGUACAAUUUGUAAUUCCUUAUUAAUAUGUGAUUAUUUAGAAAAAAAUUGUAUAUAUAGUAAAUUUCCAAUUUUGUGGGUUUAUAUAUAUAUAUAUAUAUAUUUUUAGAUUUUUUUUUAAUAACGGGCAUUACUUGUGGUAAAUUAAUAAUCCACAACGACCAUAGUACCCGUGGUGUUAAAUUCCAAUCUACAACGGGCACUGUCGGUGGUUACAUUAUAUUUGACAACGGGCAUAGCCCGUGGUCGAAACUGAGACUUUUUAUCACAUCCAGAUUACUAACGGGUACGAUGUCCGUGAUGGAUUGCAAUCUAUCAUGAACAUUCACCGUGGUAGAUGAGCAUUUUUCUUCUAGUGAUCGUGAAUCUCUCCAAGUGACAACUCUCUCUCCCACUCCGACGUCAUCCACAAACCAAAAAUUGAUCCAAACCAACCCGCCAUUAUUGGUUAACCGACAUGAUUGGUUUUAGACCCAACUUGAUCAGUUUUGGUUUGGAAUUUUAGCUCCACUGACUAGGUCGGUUUGCUUUUGAUUUUAGCCCAAAGCUGACCCAACCCAACCCAACCCGCACCCACCCCAAGUUAAUUGUAUGGUGUGGAGUUAGGAAGAAAAUGUAUGUUACAAGAGUAACUAUAUCAGGUUUGAUGUGGUUUAAGAUAUUUAAAACUUUAUUAUAUUUUAGGAGAUUUAGGAUAUUAAUAUGUAGUUAUUAAUUAAGGGAAUUGUUAUUAGCACUUUAAAAUUUUCAUUCUACACUUGUUGACUCUAGAAACUACCAAGCCUACGUGGUGCGCAGGCCGAGUAAUUAAUAAGCUAACUACGUCCUUCGGUUGUGUGCGGGGCGUGCCAACUCGUCGGCCAGGGAGUAAAAUGUGUUGACAUAGCAUUGGGCGCGUUGCUAACUUCUUGAUCUUGCGACUGCGGCCCAGGAAGGAACACGUCUCGGCCUUCGGGUUCUAGAACCUGAAGACAAGGUUGCUAGUUCUACGAAGUUCAAUAUCAAAUUCAGCUUCCAAUGUGCCAAAUAUAGUAACAUAUAACACCUCACUUCGUCGAGAAUGCUAAUGAGAUGACCUUUGCCAAUAAAGAUUCGAAAAUCCUUCUCGACCGAGACUUGGAUAGAUAACCAGUCAACCUCGAUGCAAUGCUGUUUAUCCAAACUGAAGGUGCUCCGCGGUUGGCUGAUUAUACGGCAACAGUGUUGUUUAUCCAAACUGAAGAUGUCACCGGUUGCCUUCACAAUGCUGUUUAUCCAAACUAAAGAUGUGUUGGCGGAAAAAGACAAUAAAAAUCUCAAGGUUGUUGAGAGGUUUCGUGUAGAGCGAGGAUUUGCGUAGGGCAAUUUGUGUGUUGAAUAGGAGGGGGCCUGAAAUGUUGCACGGUGUCCUGUAUUUAUAGGGAUGAGUAUGCAGUUGAUAAUUUUGUGGACUCCAAUUGCAACUCUACCACCUCCUCCCCGUGCUAAUACGCGAUAUCACCGCCACAUUUUAACUCUUGAUAAGCCAAUCCCUUUGCUAAUAAUUAUCACAACCUAAAUCGGUGCUAGCCAGGCUCAAAAUUUCAAAUACUUGACCACGUGCAUGCAUGAUAAUGACUCUGGGAAACAAUUCCAAUAAUUCAUUGUAUGCCAUCCUUAUCUCCUACUCAUCCCAUGCAUGAUAUAACUCACGUGGCAUAUCCCCAUUUGACCGGCCAAGUGAAAAUAUUACAGACGCCUCCUCAAGUUGAACCCCAUCGAGUCUAUCAUUAGUGAAAUUUGACGGUUGGGAGAUAUGUCCACCUAAAGGCCUUGAUUGCACGGGCCGAUGAUGUAAUUUUGGGUCCAAACAACACUAUUCACAAGUUUAUUUUUCUUUCUAGUUAUAGAGUUUAAAGUGCAAAAUAUAAUUUUUGGAGUGCCAAUAACAAUUUCUUUAAUUAAUUGGUAAUCUUGGAUAUAAUAGCUUAUGUUUGGCACGCUCAAAGUGUGUGAGAAUAAUUAGAAAGCAAAUGACAGGCUUAAAGUGUGCGAGAAAGUAUAUAAACCGAUCCACAUGCCCCAUGUAUUCAAAAUUAGUAUAGCAAGAGAAGAAUCAAUUAAAACAAUCACGAAACAGCAUAUUUACAUAUACAUAUGAGUUUGAGUAAUGAAGUGGGUGCUACUAGCCAUGAGCUUCUCGGAGCUCAAGCUCAGCUUUGGAACCACAUAUUCCAGUUCAUAAACUCCAUGUCACUCAAAUGUGCAGUUCAACUAGGCAUCGCAGACGUGAUUCACAACCACGGCCAACCCAUCUCUCUUUCCGAGCUCAUGGCCGGGCUCAAGGUCCACCCUUCUAAAGCUCAUUUUGUCUCACGCCUCAUGCGCAUCCUCGUUCACUCUAAUUUCUUUGCACAACAUCAUCAUGUUCAUCAUGAUCGUGCCGAUGUGGAGGAAGAAGAAACAGUUGUAUUGUAUAGCCUAACACCAGCUUCCAGGCUUCUUCUCAAAGACGGGUCAUUAAACACCACACCAUUUUUACUCAUGAUACUCGAUCCGGUAUGUAGUGUAUAUUCAAUUUGGUAGAUAACAUUUAUAGGGUAAAUAUUCUUUAUGUAUACAUCACAAGUCCUGGGAUUCAAUGACAAUGAAUAUAGAAUUUCUAGGAAAGUAUGAAAAACUAAUUCACAAUUAAUUACAACAAUGAUCCUAACUAGGCUUUUAUUCUAUCAGGUAGUGACAACCCCAUUUCACUUGAUGGGAGCUUGGUUGAAGAUAAACGGUGGUGAUGAUCCAGCUGCUACAUGUACACCAUUUGAAAUGGAAAAUGGAAUGCCCUUUUGGGAAUUGGGAGCUAGGGAACCAAGGUUCGGUAACUUGUUUAAUGAAGCAAUGGAGGCUGACUCCAAGCUUAUCGGAAGGGUUGUGGUGGAAGAGUGUGGAGGAGUUUUUGAGGGUUUGAAGUCCCUAAUGGAUGUUGGAGGGGGAUCAGGAACAAUGGCCAAGGCCAUUGCCAAUGCAUUCCCCAACAUCAACUGCACUGUGUUUGACCAGCCACAUGUGGUGGCUGGCUUGCAGGGGACGACCCACAAUUUGGGUUUUAUGGGAGGAGACAUGUUUGAGGAAAUACCUCCAGCCGAUGCAAUUUUGCUUAAGGUACGUAAUAUAUAUCACUCAAUUGUUUAUCUUAUCUUGUUUUUGGUUCAAUUUCCUAACUAAUACCCUUUUGUUAGUAAAAACAUCUCAUCCAUGUCUUUGCAAGUUCCAGCGAGCAUAGUUUGUCCCAUGUACAUGGUAGGGUCCACCUCUAUUAAAGAAAAUAGAGUGAGUGUGUUUAAAUAGAAUAUUGAAUAUAAAAGGCUCCGACUAGUAAGUGCAUUUAAAGUAAAUUGUAGCAAUGGUUCCUCAACUUUAAUUAAAUUUGAGUAAUGGUCCAUCAACUAAAAAUCUAUUACCAUUGGUCCCUCAACUUAUCAAAAUGUGUAACUAUGGUCCUUUUCAUCAAUUUCGUUAGAAUUUUGUCUAAAUAAGUUAUGUUUGAAUGACCAUUGCUACAAUUGGGGUCCCUCAACUCAUUAAAACAUGUAGCUAUAGUCUUUUUCGUCAACUUCGUCAGAAUUUUGUCAAAAUGAGUUAUGUUGGAAGGAUCAUUGCUACAAUUGGGUUAAAGUUGAGAAACCAUUACUCUAAUUGGGUUAAAGUUGAUGGACUAUUUCUCCAGUUGGAUUAAAGUUGAGGGACCAAUGGUAAUGAAUUUUUAGUGAGAGAUCAUAGCUGCACGUUUUGAUGAGUUGAGGGACCAAUAGUAAUGGAUUUUUAGUUCAAGAAUUAUUGCUCUAAUUGAGUUAAAAUUAAGGGACCAUUGCUACAAUUUACUCAUGCAUUUAUAUGCGUACAUACAUUGUUCAUGUAGUUGUGUGUACCUCUCCUCCUUAUAUAUAUAGAUUAAAGGCUCAUUUGGAAGUGUUUUUAAAAUGAUGAAAAACGUUUUUGUUGAGAGUGCUUUUGAAACCAAUCAUCAUUAUAAAAAAAAUGCAAUUGUAUCAUGGAAAAGCACUGUUAAAAAAAACACAUAACUAGUAUUUCUUGUAGGAAGCACUUCAAGUAUUUUUGGGAAUCCAAAAUUACUUUCAUCACCAGCACUUUCAAUCAUUUAAAAAACACUUCCAAACGAGCCCUAAUUAUAGAAAUAUUGUGACAAAUUGAGUAACGUAUGAAAUCAAUUAAUGAUCUGUAUCUCAGUGGAUUAUGCAUGAUUGGAACGAUGAAGAAAGCGUGACAAUAUUGAAGAAGUGUAGAGAAGCAAUAUCUCUUAGCAAAAACGAGGGUGGGAAUAAGAAGAUUAUCAUCAUAGACAUAGUUGUGGGAUAUGUGGAUAACAAGAAGAAGAUGAUGGAUAAGAAAUCAAUUGAAACUCAGCUCAUGUUCGAUAUGUUGAUGAUGUCCAUCCUCCCUGGCAAAGAGCGUAGCAAAUCAGAAUGGGAGAAGAUCUUUUUCGCUGCUGGAUUCACUCACUAUAACAUCACUCAUACACUCGGUUUUAGGUCUCUUAUUGAAGUUUACCCUUGAACAUAAACCUUCCUACUAGUAGUGUAUCAAUAAAAUUAUGUGGAUACACGCUCUAGCUAAUAUAGGUGGCUGCACUAUUAUAUUCCAUAUAUCUAAAAUAAAGAGUGUCAUCAAGCGUCAAUUUUAUGUGACAAAUAAAUAACAAGUUAAGUGUGUUGGUAUAAAUGUUUUUAUAUUGUGUCUUCAAAUAAUAUCACUUAAUUAUGCGCCAUAUGCAUCUAAUUUACAAUAUAUACAAUCAACUAGAUGAAUUGUCUUUUUUAUCUGUUUCUUUGGGUGUGUUUGUGUGUGUGUGUUAUUUUGGAUGGAUUUAGAAUACAAGCUGGAUGGAUGAAGUGGAAGAGUGCAUCUGGCGUGUUGUGUGACCGUCGUAUGCCACUGAAGCUCAAGGGAAAAUUUUAUAUAGGACGGCAAUAAGGCCGGCGAUGCUGUAUGGCACAGAAUGUUGGGCGGUGAAGCAUCAACACGUACACAAAAUGGGUGUAGCGGAGAUGAGGAUGCUUCGUUGGAUGUGUGGGCACACAAGAAAGGAUAAGAUUAGGAAUGAGGAUAUCCGGGGUAAAGUAGGAGUAACCGAAAUUGAAGGAAAGAUGAGAGAAAAUCGGUUACGGUGGUUUGGACAUGUGUAAAGAAGGCCUACUGACGCUCCGAUUAGAAUAUGCGACUAUGGGACAGAGGUUCAGGGCCGAAAGGGUAGAGGAAGACCUAGGAAAACUUUGGAAGAGACUCUAAGAAAAGACUUAGAGUACUUGGAUCUAACGGAGGACAUGACACAGGACCGAGCACAAUUGCGUUCAAAGAUUCAUAUAGCCGAUCUCACUCAGUGACUUGGAUUUUCCAAGUCUCCAACCGAGAAGUUUUCCUCACUCGGGAAAUUAAGGGAAUACUACCUCAACCUACAUGCUCCACUCACAAAGCUUCAACAUACAAGCUUCAACAAAAGAAAAUUCAGAGAACUUAGCGAAGAAGGCUUUGGUGUAUUCAACACAAUACGUUGAAAUGAAGGAAAGCUAUUUAUUGAUAUCCCCGAUAAGUCACAAAUAUGUACAUAUACAUGAGUCAAAAUAAACAAACAAGAGGGAGCCUUCACAAAGGUUGCUUAGGAGAAGUCUCAGCAGUCGGUAGAGUCCCAGAAAGAGCAGGCACUGGAGGGGGAUCAUUUGGAGCCUCAGUACUCGACAGAACCCUAGAAUGAGGAGGCAGCAGAGGUUGAUCAUUUGGAGCUUCAUUACGCGGUACAGCCCCAGAAGACGAAGGCAAUAAAUGCCUUUGGAACAAACCCAUAAAUCUCUGAUGAUCAAGUAAAACCUGACCAUCAGAUUCCUUCAUCUGGUCAAGCUUCCUCUUCAUGUUUGUAGCAUAGUCAUGUGCGAGCCGGUGCAACUGUUUAUUCUCAUGCUUGAGCCAUCUAAUCUCCUGUUUGAGACUCAUCACUUCAGCCGCCAAUGAUUCAACUUGGCGGGUUCGAGCAAAUAGGCGUUGGGCCAUGUUAGACACAGAACCUGCACACUGAACACUGAGAGCCAGAGAAUCCUUAACAGCCAACUCAUCAGACCGUUUGGAAAGUAGUCUGUUAUCUUUGGGAGUGAGAAGGUUCCUGGCCACUACCGCAGCGGUCAUAUCAUUCUUCAUCACGGAAUCCCCAACAGUAAGAGGACCAGUAGGGGAGACGAAGGAUGGGCGCCAUAUGUUAUCUAGAGAAGGCGUGGUUGCCUCUUCAACAAGGUUCAAGUCAAAACGACGGUCGGAGGGGCCAGACAUUUUCAAAGGUGUUGAAGAGUGAAGAGGUCGGACAAAUCAAGAUCUUAGAAGUGCAAGAAUGGAGCUUCUACUGGUGGAGAUUCAAGUGUGCUUUGGAACUUAAUGCCAGGCUCUAUAAAAAUCUGCACUCGACGAAGCUUCAGAAAUCGAAGAGGCGUUUGCUUUCUCAAAAGCUGGGCUGCUCAGAGACCACGAGGCGUUUGCUUUCUCAAAAGUUAGGCUGCUCAAAGACCACGAAGGCCGAUCUCAGAAAUCGAAGAGGCGCUUGCUUUCUCAAAAGCUAGGCUGCUCAGAGACCACGAGGGCCGAUCUCAGAAAUUGAAGAGGCACCUACUUUUCCAGCCUUGUCAGCACCUGUCAGCUUUGCGGAAAUUAUGGGCAUUAUGUCGAAGAUUUCUGGUGAAGUAGAAAACACAUGAAUCUUAGUGUUCAAUCACCCACUUCUCACACGCAACAUUAGCUCAUGGGUACCACAGAUAACUUUGCCAAAGUUCUCUGACAAAGUUGAGACACGUGAAGCUUGCAACUCCCACUACACCGCUCUGACCAAGAAGGGUAAAAGAAUAGCAAAGAAACAGCACUAACAAAGUUUAGACACAUAAAUUUUGAAGGUCUAGCUACCAUAUUAUUACCCACAAGGGUAAAGGAACAGUACCACUGUUGGAUAAUUGGAAAGUCCCUGUGUGUCAACCUCUGUGCUUCGUGGCAAGAUAGACUAGCAAACAUGCCCAACCUUUUCUCACAUUCGAGAAAACACUCCAACAAGAUUGCUUGCUCCAAAAUCGAAGAGGCACCGCCCUCCGAAUCUCGAGAGCCAGACUCCCAACAUGAUUACUUUCUCAAAAAUUAAAGAGACACCGCUCUCCGAAUCUCGAGAGCCAGACCCCUAGCAGGAUGGCUUUCUCAAAAAUCGAAAAGGCAUCGUUCUCCGAAUCUCGAGAGCCAGAUCUCCGACUGGAUUGCUUGUUCGAAAACCGAAGAGGCACCACUUUCCCAACUUCAAGAGCCGGAUCUCCUUGGAUAAAGCUUGUCUGUAAUCUUUACACGCAACAUCAGCUUUCCAGAUACCAUAGACCACUUUUUCAAAGUGCUCUGACAAAGUUAAAACAUGUGAAGCUGGCAGCUCCCACUAUCGUGUUAUGACCAAGCAGGGUAAAGGAAUAGCAUUACUACUUCUUGUUAGGGAGACUCCUAUAUAUGUUGACCUCCAUCCCCAACAGACAGGCAGACCUGCAAAAAUGCUCAACCCUUCCUCAUAUCUGAGAGGGCACUCCCAAAGAAGCCUUUCGAAAUAUUCAGCUUUCUUUCCCCCCGAUAAUACCUCUGCAAACAAGCUAUACUAGAGCAAGAAUAUCUCAUAUCAUCAGGGUUAAAAGCAAGAGUAUCCCAUAUCAUGUUUUUUCCCUGUCUUUUCCUUUGGCCUUGUUCUUACCUACAAGACAAGGAGAAAGAGAGCAAUCAGUCAGCACUUGGAAUCAAGCUUCCAGUCAGGAACUGACUGCCUGGAACCCCUUACUUUAUUACUUACCUGGCAUUGCUCUCGAGUACUCAUCUUCAACAUCUUAUGCUUCCAGGGAAGAUACCGCAUCUACCUGAGGAACAUAUAGGGCAAGUGAGAAGGAUACAAGGAAGCAUGUGGAGACAAGCGUAACAGCACACGUGCCGAUACAUCCACUACUCUGUCAAAAGCAAAAGUAUCCCAUAUCAGCAGGGUCGAACGUACUAUAGAUUUGAUGGACUUGUUUUGACCCUCAAAUUCUUCAGUCGGCCUUAUACUCUGGAGGAAACCAGAAAACCCUCCAGCCCAGUUCAAGAAUAAGCCUGUGGAAAGUUACUUCUUCAAAAGCAAAAGUAUCCCAUAUCAUCUCUUCUCAUUUUUCUUCUCUUUAUCCUUCAUACUGCCUGCAAGAUAGGGAGAAUGUGAACAAUCAGCCGGAACUCGAAAUCAAAGUUCUGAUCUGGGACUGAUUGCUUGGAGCUCUGAUUGCUUACCUUGUCUGUCACCUCUUUCAGCAGAUCCCCUAGCUCGGCGACUUGGAGGACUCCUACUACAUGGUUUGUAUCGCGCUUGACCAAGCCCGAAACUACAAGUAAGCUUCAAGUGAAAUUGAUACAUUACCUUGUGCAUCUCCACCAGUUAAAGAUACCACCCCUGGAUGGAGGAAGAGUACUUCCAGAGAAGAUGCCACAUCUACCUACGAGACAGAUAAGGCAAGUCAAGACGAUACCACACUCCGGAACUUAGAAGUUUCGUGAUUACGAGAUCAUUCUCCCACAAUAUUUCCUAAUGUCAUUUGUACUAAAUCAUUCACUUGUACUCACUAAAAGAGAGCUUGAACCUAUGUACUUGUGUAAACCCUUCACAAUUAAUGAGAACUCCUCUAUUUCGUGGACGUAGCCAAUAUGGGUGAACCACGUACAUCUGGUGUUUACUUUCCUAUCUCUAUCCAUUUAUAUACUUAUCCACACUAAUGACCGGAGCAAUCUAGCGACGAUCACAAAAAGCGAUCGUUUUCGCUACCUAGGAUCUAUCUUGCAAGAGAACGGAGAAUUAGAUGGAGAUCUCAACCAUAGAAUACAAGCUGGAUGGAUGAAGUGUAAGAGUGCAUCCGGCGUGUUGUGUGAUCGUCGUAGGUCACUGAAGCUCAAGGGAAAAUUUUAUAGGACGGCAAUAAGGUCAGCGAUGUUGUAUGGCACAGAAUGUUGGGCGGUGAAGCAUCAACACGUACACAAAAUGGGUGUAGCGGAGAUAAGGAUGCUUCGUGGGAUGUGUGGGCACACGAGAAAGGAGAAGAUUAUGAAUGAGGAUAUCCGAGGUAAAGUAGGAGUAGCCAAAGUUGAAGGAAAGAUGAGAGAAAAUCGGUUACGGUGGUUUGGACAUGUGCAAAGAAGGCCUACUGACGCUCCGGUUCGAAGAUGUGACUACGGAACAGAGGUUCGGGGCCGAAGGGGUAGAGGAAGACCUAGGAAAACUUUGGAAGAGACCCUAAGAAAAGACUUAGAGUACUUGGAUCUAACGGAAGACAUGACACAAAACCGAGCGCAAUGGCGUUCUAGGAUUCAUAUAGCCGACCCCACUUAGUGGGAAAAGGCUUUGUUGUUGUUGUUGUUGUUUGUUCGUAACUUUUUAAUUCAUGUUUGAUCCACCUCUUAUGAAAUGGUAAAUUUAAACUUGAGGGGUGAGAUUUGAAUAUUAUAAAUUUGUAAAACUAGUACCGUUAAACCGAGAAAAUUUGUCCCAAUUCGUCACACUUAACCAUUGAUCAUAUAUGACACACCUUGUGAUCCAAACAUUAAAAAAAUAAAAAUAAAAAUAAAAAAGCCUCAAUGUCCUUUAAUUAUUUGGACAACUUCUGAUUUUUUUUUCAAAAAGGUUUUGAUUGCUAGACUUUUUGGUCAAGUUGAGGUGUGGGAAAGCAGUAGUGUGAGAACGUUAAUUUAAAACUAAACUUCGAACGUAGCUUUGAUUUCAUAUUCUACGCAAACAAAAUUGGAAAGAGGCGGAGGGGUUCAUGAAUUUUUUUGAUAUAAAGACCUGAUGAUUCUCGAAAUUACAAAGCCUUUGUGGGACCAUGAUUUUCCAGGGUCGGUGUAAGGCUGAUCCGAAUACUGUUAUUUCAAAAGUCAAGUCAUGGACUCACCAGUUUCGGGUAGAGUUGUAUCAGACAGAGCAAGGUGCCAUCAUCACUCUACUUUGGGGCACUAGGCGGAGUCCUAGCGACUCUGCUUGAUGACCAUACUUGUUCUGCAAGACACAUGAUCUGAUCCGGAUAUGGACACAAUCAAAUCGUAGAAGUCUUGGAGUCCCUACAAUCAAGAGAGAGGCGUGUGCCGCAAGUAAUCACAAUUCUAAGAGGAUGAAAUAUCUACUUAUUAGAUAUCCUCUAGGACUCUCCCAGCUUAGAACGAGGAUUAUAUUCUAAAAAAGUCUCUCUCCCAUCUAAUAUUCAUCUACGGUAACACAAUCUAUACAAUUGAUUUCUCUUGCCCACUGCUUAAGUCUCAAAUCGUUCAAUAACUUGACCAUUGAAGAGCUUUUGGCCGGCACACCCACCCACCCCCCCCCACACACACAACACCCCAACCUAAGGUUUGCUUAUAGUUGUUUGACUGUUUUGCAAGUUGCUCAUGAUUACACGAAUUUGUGCUCAACUACCGCUCGUGGAGGUGCCUAAAUUUGGUUCCAAGAAUUGGUUCUUUCAUUGGAAGAGAACCCAUAUUCUUUCCGACCAAACCACUCGACCAACAAACAUGUGAGCUGAAGAAAGCUUGGUUAACGUCAACGUUAACCCAUCUAACGAGGGGGCUUACCCUCUGAUGCAUCAAAUUCACUUCCGUUUUUCUUUUGUUAUUCCACAUGAUUUAUUAAAUUCCUCUUAAAUGUGUGGAAUUAAAUAUUUGCUCUUUAUUUUUUAUGGAAGUUUGUACGAUUGACAACAUCUUUUAAGCUUCCACAUGAAUUACAUGUAGGGCUGGUUCGGUAUGGGAUACCGAACCAAAAAUGGCAUAUCAAAUCCCGAACCGAAAAUUUUCGGGACGUAAAUCUCAUGACCGAUCCCGAACCGAAAUUUCAGGAUUCCCGAAAUAUUUUCGGUAUUUCGGAAUUUCCCGAAACCGAACAUCAUCAGAAUCCAAAUCGUCUUAGAUUAAUAUUGAAAUCAUCCGAACUUGCAUUAAAAAUCCAAAUUGAAAUCAGAGACAUAGUGAUAGUGAAUCAGUGAAAGAUUUAUGGUCGAGAAAGAAGCAGAGUGAAGAGAGGGACCUCCUCCUGACCCGAGCCCCCAAUUCGAAACCCUAAGCC